rnacentral:lncRNA from 1 species
AUAUUCCUUGGUGUAUGCUUUUCGCAGACGAUAUAGUGUUGAUAGAUGAAACUCAGGAAGGGGUAAAUGCAAAGCUUAACCUUUGGAGAGAAGUGUUGGAAUCUAAAGGUCUUCGCCUAAGCCGAUCAAAGACAGAAUAUAUGGAGUGCAAGUUCAGUGCAAAUGGAGGCCAAAACGAGUUAGGGGUGAGGAUCGGAGAUCAAGAAAUACCAAAGAGCGACCGUUUUCGUUACCUAGGAUCUAUCUUGCAAAAGAACGGAGAAUUAGAUGGAGAUCUCAACCAUAGAAUACAAGCUGGAUGGAUGAAGUGGAAGAGUGCAUCCGGCGUGUUAUGUGUGACCGCCGUAUGCCACUGAAGCUCAAGGGAAAAUUUUAUAGGACGGCAAUAAGGCCGGCGAUGCUGUAUGGCACAGAAUGUUGGGCGGUGAAACAUCAACACGUACACAAAAUGGGUGUAGCGGAGAUGAGGAUGCUUCGUUGGAUGUGUGGGCACACGAGAAAGGAUAAGAUUAGGAAUGAGGAUAUCCGGGGUAAAGUAGGAGUAGCCGAAAUUGAAGGAAAGAUGAGAGAAAAUCGGUUACGGUGGUUUGGACAUGUGCAAAGAAGGCCUACUGACGCUCCGAUUAGAAGAUGCGACUAUGGGACAGAGGUUCAGGGCCGAAGGGGUAGAGGAAGACCUAGGAAAACUUUGGAAGAGACUCUAAGAAAAGACUUAGAGUACUUGGAUCUAACGAAGGACAUGACACAGGAUCGAGCACAAUGGCGUUCUAAGAUUCAUAUAGCCGAUCCCACUCAGUGACUUGGAUUUUCCAAGUCUCCAACCGAGAAGUUUUCCUCACUCGGAAAAUUAAGGGAACACUACCCCAACCUACAUGCUCCACUCAGAAAGCUUCAACAUACAAGCUUCAACAAAAGAAAAUUCAAAGAACUUAGCGAAGAAGGCUUUGGUGUAUUUAACACAAUACGUUGAAAUGAAGGAAAGCUUAUUUAUUGAUAUCCCCGAUAAGCUACAAAUAUGUACAUAUACAUGAGUCAAAAUAAACACACAAGAGGGAGCCUUCACAAAGGUUGCUUAGGAGAAGUCUCAGCAGUCGGUAGAGCCCCAGAAAGAGAAGGCACCGGAGGGGGAUCAUUUGGAGCCUCAGUACUGGACAGAACCCUAGAAGGAGGAGGCAUCAGAGGUUGAUCAUUUGGAGCUUCAUUACGCGGUACAGCCCCAGAAGACGAAGGCAAUAAAUGCCUUUGGAACAAACCCACAAAUCUCUGAUGAUCAAGUAAAACCUGACCAUCAGUUUCCUUCAUCUGGUCAAGCUUCCUCUUCAUGUUUGUAGCAUAGUCAUGUGCGAGCCGGUGCAACUGUUUAUUCUCAUGCUUGAGCCCUCUAAUCUCCUGUUUGAGACUCAUCACUUCAGCCGCCAAUGAUUCAACUUGGCGGGUUCGAGCAAAUAGGCGUUGGGCCAUAUUAGACACAGAACCUGCACACUGAACACUGAGAGCCAGCGAAUCCUUAACAGCUAACUCAUCAGACCGUUUGGAAAGUAGUCUGUUAUCUUUGGGAGUGAGAAGGUUCCUGGCCACCACCGCAGCGGUCAUAUCAUUCUUCAUCACGGAAUCCCCAACGGUAAGAGGACCAGUAGGGGAGACGAAGGAUGGGCGCCAUAUGUUGUCUGGAGAAGGCGGGGCUGCCUCUUCAACAAGGUUCAAGUCAAAACGACGGUCGGAGGGGCCAGACAUUUUCAAAGGUGUUGAAGAGAGAAGAGGUCGGACAAAUCAAGAUCUUAGAAGUGCAAGAAUGAAGCUUCUACUGGUGGAGAUUCAAGUGUGCUUUGGAACUUAAUGCCAGCCCCUAUAAAAAAUCUGCACUCGACGGAGCUUCAGAAAUCGAAGAGGCGCCUGCUCAGAAAUCGAAGAGGCGUUUGCUUUCUCAAAAGCUGGGCUGCUUAGAGAUCACGAGGGUUGAUCUCAGAAAUCGAAGAGGCGUUUGCUUUCUCAAAAGUUGGGCUGCUCAAAGACCACGAAGGCCGAUCUCAGAAAUCGAAGAGGCGCUCGCUUUCUCAAAAGCUGGGCUCCCCAGAGACCACGAGGGCCGAUCUCAGAAAUCGAAGAGGCACCUACUUUUCCAGCCUUGUCAGCACCUGUCACACGCACACUCAGCUUUGCGGAAAUUAUGGGCAUUCUGUCGAAAGACUUCUGGGGAAGUAGAAAACACACAUGAAUCUUACUGUUCAAUCACCCACUUCCCACACGCAACAAUAGCUCAUGGGUACCACAGAUAACUUUGCCAAAGUUCUCUGCCAAAGUUGAGCACGUGAAGCUUGCAGCUCCCACUACAUCGCUCUGACCAAGAAGGGUAAAAGAAUAGCAAAGAAACAGCACUAACAAAGUUUAGACCCAUAAAUUUUGAAGGUCUAGCUACCAUAUUAUUACCCACAAGGGUAAAGGAACAGUACCACUGCUGGAUAAUUGGAAAGUCCCUGUGUGUCAACCUCUGUGCUUCGUGGCAAGGUAGACUAGCAAACAUGCCCAACCUUUUACUCACAUUCGAGAAAAAACACUCCCAAUAAGAUUGCUUGCUCCAAAAUCGAAGAGGCACCGUCCUCCGAAUCUCGAGAGCCAGACCAGACUCCCAACAUCCCAACAUGACUACUUUCUUAAAAAUCGAAGAGAGGGUAAAGGAACAGUACCAUUGCUGGAUAAUUGGAAAGUCCCUGUGUGUCAACCUCUGUGCUUCGUGGCAAGGUAGACUAGCAAACAUGCCCAACCUUUACUCACAUUCGAGAAAACACUCCCAACAAGAUUGCUUGCUCCAAAAUCGAAGAGGCACCGCCCUCCGAAUCUCGAGAGCCAGACUCCCAACAACAUGAUUACUUUCUCAAAAAUCGAAGAGACACUGCUCCCCGAAUCUUCGAGAGCCAGACCCCCAGCAUGAUUGCUUUCUCAAAAAUCGAUGAGGCAUCGUUCUCCGAAUCAAUCGAAGAGGCGCUCGCUUUCUCAAAAGCUGGGCUGCUCAGAGACCACGAGGGCCGAUCUCAGAAAUCGAAGAGGCACCUACUUUUCUAGCCUUGUCAGCACCUGUCACACGCACACUCAGCUUUGCAGAAAUUAUGGGCAUUCUGUCGAAGACUUCUGGUGAAGUAGAAAGCACAUGAAUCUUACUGUUCAAUCACCCACUUCCCACACGCAACAAUAGCUCAUGGGUACCACAGAUAACUUUGCCAAAGUUCUCUGCCAAAGUUGAGCACGUGAAGCUUGCAGCUCCCACUACAUCGCUCUGACCAAGAAAGGUAAAAGAAUAGCAAAGAAACAGCACUAACAAAGUUUAGACACAUAAAUUUUGAAGGUCUAGCUACCAUAUUAUUACCCACAAGGGUAAAGGAACAGUACCACUGCUGGAUAAUUGGAAAGUCCCUGUGUGUCAACCUCUGUGCUUCGUGGCAAGGUAGACUAGCAAACAUGCCCAACCUUUACUCACAUUCGAGAAAACACUCCCAACAAGAUUGCUUGCUCCAAAAUCGAAGAGGCACCGCCCUCCGAAUCUCGAGAGCCAGACUCCCAACAUGAUUACUUCCUCAAAAAUCGAAGAGACACUGCUCUCCGAAUCUCGAGAGCCAGACCCCCAGCAUGAUUGCUUUCUCAAAAAUCGAAGAGGCAUCGUUCUCCGAAUCUCGAGAGCCAGAUACCACAGACCACUUUUUCAAAGUGCUCUGACAGAGUUAAAACAUGUGAAACUGGCAGCUCCCACUACCGUGCUAUGACCAAGCAGGGUAAAGGAAUAGCAUUACUACUUGUUGUUAGGGAGACUCCUAUAUAUGUCGACCUCCAUCCCCAACGGACAGGCAGACCUGCAAAAAUGCUCAACCCUUCAUCAUAUCUGAGAGGGCACUCCCAACGAAGCCUUUCGAAAUAUUCAGCUUUCUUUCCCCCCGAUAAUACCUCUGCAAACAAGCUAUACUAGAGCAAGAAUAUCUCAUAUCAUCAGGGUUAAAAGCAAGAGUAUCCCAUAUCAUGCUUUUUCCCUGUCUUUUCCUUUUGGCCUUGUUUUUACCUGCAAGACAAGGAGAAAGAGAGCAAUCAGUCAGCACUUGGAAUCAAGCUUCCAGCCAGGAACUGACUGCCUGGAACCCCUUACCUGAUUACUUACCUGGCAUUGCUCUCGAGUACUCAUCUUCAACAUCUUAUGUUUCCAGGGAAGAUUCCGCAUCUGCUUGAGGAACAGAUAGGGCAAGUGCGAAGGAUACAAGGAAGCAUGUGGAGACAAGCGUAACAGCACACGUGCCGAUACAUCCAUUACUCUGUCAAAAGCAAAAGUAUCCCAUAUAUCAGCAGGGUGGAACGUACUCUAGAUUUGAUGGACUUGUUUUGACCCUCAAAUUCUUCAGUCGGCCUUAUACUCUGGAGGAAACCAGAAAACCCUCCAGCUCAGUUCAAGAAUAAGCCUGUGGAAAGUUACUUCUUCAAAAGCAAAAGUAUCUCAUAUCAUCUCUUCUCAUUUUUCUUCUCUUUAUCCUUCAUGCUGCUGCAAGAUGGGGAGAAGGUGAACAAUCAGUCGGAGCUCUGAUUGCUUACCUUGUCUGUCACCUCUUUCAGCAGACCCCCUAGCUCGGCGACUUGGGGGACUCCUACUACAUGGUUUGUAUCGCGCUUGACCAAGCCUGAAACUACAAGUAAGCUUCAAGUGAAAUUGAUACAUUACCUUGUGCAUCUCCACCAGUUAAAGAUACCACCCCUGGAUGGAGGAAGAGUACUUCCAGAGAAGAUGCCACAUCUACCUAUGAGACAGAUAAGGCAAGUCAAGACGACACCACACUCCGAUACUUAGAAGUUUCGUGAUUACGAGAUCAUUCUCCCACAAUAUUUCCUAAUGUCAUUUGUACUAAAUCAUUCACUUGUACUCACUAAAGGAGAGCUUGAACCUAUGUACUUGUGUAAACCCUUCACAAUUAAUGAGAACUCUUCUAUUCCGUGGACGUAGCCAAUCUGGGUGAACCACGUACAUCUUGUGUUUGCUUUCCUAUCUCUAUCCAUUUAUAUACUUAUCCACACUAAUGACCGGAGCAAUCUAGCGAAGAUCACAAAAAGCGACCGUUUUCGCUACCUAGGAUCUAUCUUGCAAGAGAACGGAGAAAUUAGAUGGAGAUCUCAACCAUAGAAUACGAGCUGGAUGGAUGAAGUGUAAGAAUGCAUCCGGCGUGUUGUGUGACCGUCGUAGGCCACUGAAGCUCAAGGGAAAAUUUUAUAGGACGGCAAUAAGGCCAGCGAUGUUGUAUGGCACAGAAUGUUGGGCGGUGAAGCAUCAACACGUACACAAAAUGGGUGUAGCGGAGAUGAGGAUGCUUCGUGGGAUGUGUGGGCACACGAGAAAGGAUAAGAUUGGGAAGGAGGAUAUCCGAGGUAAAGUAGGAGUAGCCGAAAUUGUAGGAAAGAUGAGAGAAAAUCGGCUCCGGUGAUUUGGACAUGUGCAAAGAAGGCCGAAUGACGCUCCGGUUCGAAGAUGUGACUACGGGACAGAGGUUCAGGGCCGAAGGGGUAGAGGAAGACCUAGGAAAACUUUGGAAGAGACUCUAAGAAAAGACUUAGAGUACUUGGAUCUAACGGAGGACAUGACACAAAACCGAGCGCAAUGGCGUUCUAGGAUUCAUAUAGCCGACCCCACUUAGUGGGAAAAGGCUUUGUUGUUGUUGUUGUUGUUGUUGUUGUUUGUACCUUGUAAGAAUUUAGCGCAUUAACAUCAGCCAUUUCUUUUCCUUCCAUAUUUUGAAAUCCUCAACCUUGGUAUCUUUUUUGUUAUACUGAUCUUCCUGCCAUUGACACAGAACCGAGCGCAAUGGCAUUAACGGUCUUCAUUUUAGUUGUGUUUGCUUGUUUUUUCACCCAAGCAUGCCUUCUGUUUGAAAUAGUUCUACUUUUAUGUGUGCUCAUUAUUUCAUAGCUUCAUGAUUCAUACUGAUAUUUUGUUAUUGGCUUUUUUGGGUAUACAAUAUAGCAUAAACACGGUGUACUACAUGGCACCUUUUGCGACCAUGAUCUUGGCAGUACCUGCAAUGCUACUUGAAGGUAAUGGAGUUCUUGAAUGGCUUCACACCCAUCAGACUCUUGUUCCAUCCCUCAUCAUCAUUUUCAGCUCCGGGGUAAUGGCAUUUUGUCUCAACUUCUCCAUUUUUUAUGUAAUCCAUUCUACGACUGCCGUGACAUUCAACGUUGCUGGAAACCUCAAGGUAAUUAUUAAGCGUAAUCACUAACCUUGUAGUACUGUUAUGCUUUAUAAAGAAUUAAUGAUGCAUUCCUAAAUUAUUCGGCACAAGCACUGUCAGGCUUUAUCGGUCAAUCUAGUCAUAACCCUUUUGGGCAAGCAAAUAUCUUGUCAAUGAUCACGUUCUGAUAUUGGAUUUUUGUUCAGGUUGCGGUUGCCGUCCUUGUUUCAUGGAUGAUAUUCAAAAACCCGAUUCCAGCUUUGAAUGCUGUUGGUUGUGGAAUAACGCUUUUGGGAUGUACAUUCUACGGGUAUGUGAGGCACCUCAUCUCCCAACAGCUGCCUGGAACUCCUCGAACACCACGCACUCCACGGGGUCGUAUGGAGCUGCUUCCCCUCGUAAAUGAUAAAUUAGAUGACAAGGUCUAGUGGUUCAGGCCGCAUGAAUGAGAUUCCCCUCGUAAACUUCAUUGCAUUAAAAACAUACUAGUCACUUCUUUUCUAUGUAAUUUGACACGAAACUAUGAUGAUCUUGUUUUUAAUAUAUUGUUUUUUUUUUCCCUUGCGUAACUAUGAUGAUCUUGUUCGGGCUCUUGUUGCAAUUUAACCUUCACGGCCCAGGUGCUUCUUUCGUUGGUAAAUUGGGCCCAGAAUGCAAUUAGUCUGCUAAUAUCGUUGUUUUUUUUUUUUUUUUUUUUUGUUUGAACAAACUAAAAUCGCUGUUUGAUGUUAAUAAUCGUCAUUCGAUCUUCCAGCUAUCUGUAAGUGAUCGCUAGUGCUCAAUGCUCCCUCAUACACCAUAUCUAACAGCUUUCUGAUUCAUGGUUAUAAUUUGAAUUUUUUUUCUAAUGAAAAACACAUCCGGCUCCUAUCGGUUACAUUGUCAAUGGUCACAUUCUGAUAUUGGAUUUUGUUCAGUUUCGUGGGAAAAUUUUUGAAAUGUCACAAAUUAAUGAUUUCGAAAAGUUUGUAUGACAUUAAAAAAAAAAAAAAAAAUCCUAUUCAAAAACCCAAUUCCAGCCUUGAAAGACAUUGGUUGUGGAAUAACGCCUUUGGCAUGUGGAAUAACACCGCUGGCGAUCUUCAUAAGUGGUUGGAUCUAAAUGUGUUGUUCAAAAUCAGAAGAAUUGCCCAGAGAAGAGUGAAAAACGCAUUUAUGGCCCACCAGUUAUGAAGAUUAGUACCAGCAAAGAAGGUCAACCAAACGCACCACAGCAAAAACCACAUUGGAACCACUUGUAAGUGCAAGUUCGCCUGUGGUUGCAGUAAUAUUUUUCCCAUGAAGACCUCAUUGCCAAGAGUAGGCCAACCACGCGACGUUACUUGUGCUGCCAAAUAGCAAGCAUGCAUACAUGGCAUGGUAGCACAAAAGUAUUAACAGAAAUGCAGAAAAACACAGAAAUGCAGAAAGAGCAUGUAUCGAAGAAGAAAAGAGAGAAGGGAAUAUGAGAAAGAGAGAAAGUAAUUGAUUACAUUGAUACUAAAUUAAUCCUUACAACUAUGAGAAUACAGUUUAUAUAGCCAUCAUGACUAGCUUGCAGCCUAAGCUAUUUAACUAACUACUUCAAUAACAACUCUAACAACCUUUCGGCACGUGGAUAUUGCCAACAAAAAGGUGUGUAGGUUCAAGUUUUGCAAAUGCACUCGCCCGGUAUCACCUGGCGACAAUCACAACCGGGUUCGUUUCGCCCUCCGCACGUUCCACUCCAACUGGUUUGUUGUAAUGACCUGCAUUGGUGGCGAUCAUCGACGUAAGGCCCGCCAUGCUUAUUAGCAUGCUGAUAGCCGUUGUUUUGGCUCCCAUUCACCGCCCGGCAGUGUUGGCUUGGCGCGGGCAAGAGAGUCGGCAGGAGAAGCAAAUGCAAAUUUUCGCGGACAUGUUGACACCGUAGUAGUCAAUACUCCAUGCGAGUCACUAUCGGGGACUGUUUCACCGACUUGACGUACGCUCCAAGAAAUCCUUCCCGUGCGCAUGAAAACGGAGUCCACUAAGUUUCAAACAUUGCGAAAUGAAGCUUCCUGGGAGUUGAAAGCAUCAGUACACAAAAAAACUUGCUUUUCACUUGUUUUCUAUGCAAUGUAAUCCUGCUUCAGAUUACUUUAAAAUUUUAAUAUAUGGUUUUUGACUGCCAUUUGCCAAACUAUGAUUUUGUGGCAUUAAUUUGUAGCCUUCUACGAGGGUUUUGCAAUUAGACCUCAUGGCCCAAGCUGAUUUUUCCUUGAUAUAUUGGGGGCCCAAAUGCAACUAUUAAAACUAUAGAGAAUGAAAUGAUUUCCGCACUUUCUUUUUAUUUUGACCUUUUUGAAUAAAUUAAAGAAGAAUCAAGAGCCACAAAUAAAUAGUUAAAAAGAAAACAAGAGUGCAAAAAUCAUUUUCCAGAACCAUAUGACUUCCAAGUUGUGUUCAACCAACACCAAAUCAUGCUUUGCCCCCGGAAGUGAAAAUCAACACAAGGGCAAUAAUUAAGCCUUAAUAAAUCUGUAACAACUUGUUUAGGAUUUUAGAAAAUGUUUUCGGUUUCGAAAAGCACCUGAAGUGCUUCUUGUAUAAAGCAAUUCAAGAGUUUUUCUAAGAUUCACUUGCAUUUUUGUUAACAAUUGUUUUGAAAAAUAUUUUCACCAAAAUCACUUUCAAUCAUUUUAAACGGACUUCCAAAAAAGCUCUUAAGUUUAUGAUGUGACGUUGACUUUUGUAAAUGUUGUCAGCUAAACAUUUAUUUUUGUUACAAAGGGCAGCUGAAGCCCAAGCAUAAUCGCUUAACAAAAAAAAAAGACAUCAGUCAAAGGAGCUUACACAAACAGCCCGAGUCCUAAGAGCAUUUCGAAUAAGGACUUUAUCCUCCUUAAGGCUACUAUAUUUGUAGUUUUAGUUAAAAAUUUCAUCCCAAAUAGGCUAAAAAAUGGAUCUACAUCCAUCAUAUGGCUAGCAACUUCAAUCCUUGCGUAGCAAAAAAAUAGGUUACAUCUAGCCCCGAAAAGUAAGAGGACCAACACCAAAUUGAGGGCCCAAUCUUGGUGUUCUAACUUUUUUUUUUUUUUUUUGUAAGUUUAAGAAUGGGUGGGCUUCAUUUUUAAUUCUAAAAUAUGAUUUUUAGAGUUUAUUUUCAACAAUUUAUGAUUUUAAGGGUUUAUUUUUAAACAUUUAUGAUUUUAAGAGUUUAUUUUUCAAUCGUAUGUUUAAUUAAAAAAACAUAAACAAAAACAACUAUUUUUUGUGUGUUAUUUAUUAAGAAAAAAUAUGUUGUUUUUUGUGUUUAAUUUUCUAAAUUGAAAAGUUCAUAAAGAUAUGGAUAAAAUUUAACAUUGGUAGUUUAGAUACCUAAACUGAAAACAUAAACAAACAAUGUAACUAAAUUGUGAUAAAAUAAUCAAAUAUAAUGAUUAUUAUGAAAAGAAAUCUUAUCUUGUUUGAUUUCGAAAAAUGUGUUAAUCAGAUAAAUAAACAAACGGAUAAGAUUGAGAUAAGAUAAUCUAAUCGAACGAUUAUUAUGAAAUAAAAGCUUAUCUUGUCUGAUUUCAUAGAAACAAACUAAUGGAUAUGAUUGAGAUAAGAGAAUCUAUAACAAUGCAUAAGUAAUGAAAUCUCAUUGUCAGAUUUUAAAUUUUUUUUAGGUUGAAAAAUUUAUAAAUAAAAAUUUGAGAUAACACGUUCAAAAAUCAACUUAAAAACAGUUUAAACAUAAAUAAAUAUAUAACCCCACAUAGAAUCAAAACACUAUAUAGGCCCUCAUUGUGACAAAUUCUUGAAAACCCCAAAUAUUCCUUAGAGUUCUAAAUUGGACUAUAACUAUCACUUUUCUAGUCCCGUAGAGAGCCCGUCAUUGGGGAUGCUCUAACAACCCCAUAUCCAAAGAAAAACUCAACCUUGCCAAACUAUCAACCACCAUGUUCCUUUCUCUUUAAAUAUGAUUUAAAGCACAUUGUUGAAACCGAGAAAUCAAGUGAUGACAGCCAUAUAAAAACUGUCAGCCAAACAUUAAUAGACUUUGGAUCAAGUUGAAAUCUAAAGUAAAAAGCCUUUAAUAGAGAUUGAAUGCAAAUGCACUUGAUAAAGUCUCAGUACAUCAACUCCUCUUACCCUAACUACACCUACUUAAUAGUUAAUACAGAAAGAAAGAUGAUCUAGUUAGUAAAUAGUUAGAUGGUAAAUUACAAAGCUAAUCUAUAAUCUUAAUCACUUAUUAGACACUAAUCCUUAAUCCUUUCUCAUUAGAGGUGAAGAAGAAGAACACACUUAAGCCAAGAGCCAGAAAUCCUUCUGCCAUCUGGUGUUGAUAAGGUAGCCACUCACACCUUUGCUUUGCUUCCUCACUCCAAUUGUCAAACACUCUGCAUUGUUUAUGCAAUGCUCCACAAAAUCCUCAGUGGAGCUGGUUCCAAAUAAGCUGCAUAAUUAAAUCACAAUAAACAUCAUUUAGCAAGCUAUAUAAUUCGGCGAUAUCAAACAAUGGUUUAGUUUGGUACGGUUCGGUUUCACCCACGCCUUUAGUUAAAGCUAGUAAGUGCUUUUGCAAGAAGGGAUUAGUGGAAUAGGACCCACCAGCUGAUGAAGGGAGAGGGCUUCUUCUGACCAAGCACUAGCACUGAAACCUCAAGCUUCUUAACCUGGCUGUUCACUGUUGCCACUCUUGGUCCUUGGAUCACAAGAGCUUCCACUUCCACCUGAAUAUUAUUUUUUUCCCAAAAAAUAAUUAAACAAAUAAUAAUAAUUUAUACACAUGACUAAAUAAAUGUUAAGUGACACAACAGAAAUUAUGUCCCCCCUCUCUUUUUCUGGGAAAAAAUAGGCAAAAGCAACUGAAAGGCCAGUCACUCUUCCUUCUCACACUGAAAAGAAAGAGAGUGAAUUGUCACUGGUGAAAAUUAUUACCCUUCUUCCUCUAAAGAAGAGAAAAGACAAAAAGAAACAGUCAAAGAUUAAAAAAACAAACAAGCAAAGAAAAGGAGGGAAAAGAAUUUAAAGGUCGGGGACCAGAAAAUUGGGAUCUGUCAAACACAACGAAGACACUCUCAGCCUUUUCUAGUAGGAUCUAUCAAACAGAGCAAACGAUUAAGAAAAGACAGGCCAUUUGUCUAAAAGGAUCCCCAUUUUUGGGUAAUUACGAGGACUAGUUGUAGAGUUUAAUUCCUGAUCUGAACCGUUUAUUUUGUAAGUGUCGAUUAAAAAAUUAGCUGCCCAUCUUAAACUAGGAGAAGGAAGGAAGAGUGAAAUGUACCUCAGGCUUGCAAGCCUUGCAUAGGGAGCCAAGGGAGUUGGCAAGGGAAGGGGAGGAGGUAUAGGAAGAGUCAUGGGAAGAAGGGAUGAUGUGGAGGAGAGUGAGCAAAUCACCCUUGUUGGCAACAUGACUGAGGGCCCACAUCAUGGCAUGCUUGGAAUGUGAUGAGUCAUCCACCACCACCAUCACUCUCUUCCUCAUUCCGAAUCCUCCACCACCACCACCAUUGUUGUUGCCAUACAUGUUUUGAAGCCCUUCCAUUUGCUGAAAGCUUCCUCCUUUCCCCUCAGACAGCCCAACUCCGCCGCUGAAACCACCGCAAGACUUUCUAUUUCCAACACCACCCCAACUCAUUGAUUUUGAUUUCCACGCCUCCCUUCCACUCAAUUGCCUCAAAAAUGCACUUGGUUUUGGCAUUUUCUCUCACCCCUUUUGCCUAAAUAUGCCUAAAACUAAGUAACUGCGUAGAGAGAGUAUGUGAGCUUUGUGGGGUUCGGUUGAGGGCUUCUUGGCUAUUAUAACGAGAAAAUAAAGGGUGAGGGAGAGGGUGAUGAGGGAGGGGGGAAUGGGGUAAAAUCUGAUGAUGCAAAGACAUGAUUUUUAAGUCUGGGCUAUCUCUAACACUCGUUUUUACUUUUUACAUGCUUUUUUUAUCUUACAAUUGCCGAAUUAAAUGAAUUGAAUAAAAUUAAUAGAUAAAAAUUAAUAAGAGUAGUGAACAGUAAAAAAGAAUGCGUGAAAAGUAAAAAGAGUAUGUGUAUCUAAGAACGAAUGGAAAUAAGGACCAAGAUGGUCCCAGUAUCGCCUGGGUUUGGAAAAUAUACUUGUAAAGAUUUUUGAGAACCCUCCAAAUAUUUAGUAUGAAUUUCUUUUGUGUCUACUCUGUUUGAUGCAAUGCAUCUUGGACAUAUUUUGACAUGUUGCAUUGAUAGCAAACGAUCAGUUCUAUCUAUAUUAUUCAUUAAAUUGCUUCAGCAUACAACAAUAAGUGAAUAAACUGAUUUUUGUUUUAUUUUUUCCACACUUUAUAAUCUAUUCUUAUCUAAAAAAAUUACAUUUAACACUAAGGUUCCAAGAUUCAAAUCUUGAAUCCGUCACUAAUUAUCUAUUCCCAUUUUUUAUCUUGUGCAGGAUAAAGUGUCACGAGGAGGACUGGCUGAUGGUGACUUGACUCUGCAUAGAGAUGUAAAACAAUCACCAAAGUUUUGUUUUCUUUUUGGUAUUUUGAUGAUGAAAGGCAGGAUCUGUUGUACGACCUCUUUAGAGAUAAAAUAAAAGUUGUGAUAUCCACAUAUCUUCUUUUAUUUUAUUUCUCACAUAUUUUUUUAAUUUUUUAUUUUCGGAUUAAAUGAAUUGAAAAAAAUCAAUGAAUAUAAAUUAUCAAGAGGUAUGUGAGAAGUAAAAUGAAAUGUAUGGAUAACACAUUCCUAAAAUAAUAAUUCAGAUUCUCCUCCCUAUUUUCUAAUUUCUUAUCAUGAUCUGUGUCUAUGCUAUAGGAUGAAAGAUACUUAUGUCUAUAUGGCUACAGGCUGUGUCCAAUUCGGCUAAUUGCAUGCAUGCAAAUGAAGAGAGAAACUUAGUCGAAACAUAGAGUAUAACAUUAUUAACAGUAACUGACAUAAUGAACAGUAACUAUUUUUUGCAUCUUCAUCAUUGCACUUGAAUAGCCCUGGCAAUAGACAAUAAAAUAUUUAUUAAUAUUUUUUUUUACAAAAUAAUACUAAAUAAUUUUUUUUGUAAUUUCGGAUAAAAUAUUUUAAAUCGUUCUCAUUGCACUACAUGUCAUUUACCCAAAACGACUAUUAUUUGUCAUAGAUUUCGAGAGAUAUCCAAUUUGUACCUGCAUCAAUAAUCAUUUUGUUGAAAAAAAUUGGAUUGAAACUUUGAGAGAAAGAUAGGAAUGUGAUUGAAAGUAGUUGAGAACAUAUGAAAUUGUGGUGUAAGGUACAUGAUAACGAGAAGGUAUUUAUAGAAAAGUAGAAACAUUUUUUAAAAAGAUUUUCAGAUUUUUUUUCGGAUUUUUUUACAAUUUUUAUUCAAAUAAUUAAUCUCUGCCGUUGGAUUUUAAAAAAAAAGAAUUCCAACACUCCAGAUUGUGCCACGUGUCACAACAGUAACUUUUCUUAAUUUUAAAACUAUUUUUUUAUUUUUUUAUUUAUAUUUAAACCAUAUUAAUAUCGACCAUUAAUCUCAGAUCGAACCGUUGAUAUUAAAUAAGAUUUUUUUAUUUUUUUUACCGUUGAGAUCGAACGGUCCAAGUUAAAUAGCCGUUGAGAUCGAACGGACCGUGGGAAGCCACGUGGCUUCCCAACGGUAACAUUGAAGUCUGGAAAGGCUUCUGUUUUUUCUAAAAAGUUGUCGGGCGACGCGCCCCCACACUCGAGUGGGGUGCACACGCUUGACAAAAAAAAAGGCCCGGAGCUCGGGCUCUCGGGCUGUCAACUCUUCACAGGCCAAGAGCUCGGACCUCCACCUCCGCUCGAACUUCUUCACGCUGGGGCAAAUCCAAAGGGCCUCGGGCCCUUCUUCUCUCGCAUGUCCCCCGAGCAAUCCACAAGGAUGGAGUUGCUCUUAAAGAUGUGGCAAAAGUGAAACACAAUAGGGUAUGCACCGAACUGCGCUAAUUAAGAUUUUUUCUCUCGUAUUUGAGAGAUACUCUAUCGCAGCCAAUACAUAAUUCAAGUGAUAUCCGGCUCCAGUCAAUAAUUUAACAUGUGUUUACAAAAGUUUAUCAAUCAUUUAAUAGAUAUUUGUCAUAUGACGUCUCUAAUUAUAUGAAAGUACAUCUCUCUACUUUAGAUGAUGAGUAGAUUUCGUUUGAAACUAUUUUAAUAUACUAACAGCAGAUCCAUCCAUCAUUUUUAUAAUUUUUAUGUCAGUUCAUGCUCAAGUUGCUCCAACUUAAAGAUAAACUUGUCCAGACCCUUCAAUUGUCCUUGCAGCAACAUUUAUGUGCACCAUUUUCUUGUGUUUGCUCUUUGUGUGGUCUUUCGUAGGUCUCGGCCUUCCUGGGUGAUGUCUAAACAGUCUUCAUAUUUGGAAUAGGUGGGUGUGAUCUCGUAACUAUUUUAAUAAAAAGCAAGUAAAUGUAACGAGUGGUUCGCUGGACAUAUAUAAGUUGUUAUAACAUUACCAAUAAAACGAAAGUGUGUAAUGUUAAGGACACAAUAUCUUUUAAAAAAUGACUUACAUGGAAUAGGGUCAUAAUCACUAUGGCAACCCAUUCAAUAAAACAAUAUCAAUGACAUUGUACAACUAGUGGAUCGGUAUAUCACGUGACAAUGAACCCGCUCAAUUGACGUUACUCUCCAUUUUGGGUGACUACAUUGUACCACAGUAAGGCCAAACCAUACAAGUAGUUUCUACUUUUAUUAGAAAAAUGGGAUAAUAUGUGGUCUCCCAAAAUAUUGUCUCCAUCAAUUCAACGAAAAUACUUGAUUUCUCACAUUACAUACAAGAGUUUUCCUUUUGUCUUUAUAAACCUUAAUUAACAAAGACUCUUCUUGUAUGAUUUAUAUUUUUAAUUCAUGAAGUAAUUUUUCUUCUUUGUUUGGGUAUGAAAUUCAUGAAGUAAAUUUGGGUGGUCAAAUUGUUGGAUAAUUUUUUUUUUUUUAGUAUAACAAUAUAUUUUAUACUAAGGGGAGGAAGGAGUUUGGCUGAGCCCCACAAUAGGUAACUUAAUUUGGUAUCGAAUUCACCAUCUACAAGAUUUUCACAUGAAAUCUCUUACUUACCAGUGAAGAGAAAUACAACUAGAUCAUAGUACUGAGUAAGGUUGGAUAAAUUGAUUAUUUUAAAAGAAAAACUAAUAAAAAAAGGAUUGAAAACUUUAAGUUUUAACGAAAAUGACAAAAUAAAGGGUAAAGUGAAUAGUACUAUGAUUAACUUUUUAAUGUAAAAAUAUGGUUUUUCGUUAAAGUAAACAGUACCGGGAGUUUUUCGUUAAAGUUCUCUAUUUUAAAUGGCAAUUAUGUUUGUGAAGAAUUAUAUGAUUUGUCAAAAAAGAGAAUUAGACUGCUAAAUCCAAAAUAUUAAUAUUAUUAUUUGUGGAUUUUUGAACCUCACCCAUGUACCAAUGUAACAAAAUAGCAUGACCAAUAAUCUCUUUAGCCCAAUAUUCCAUUAUCCGAUGAUGUUUAUAAAUAAGGGAGCCUAAAUUUUUAUUUUCUUUUGUUCAACAAAUUUUCUACAUGAUAUUCAUAAAAAAAUUCUAACAAAGUAAAGAUCGAGUGAUAUUAAAUUAAAAAAUAUAAAAAAUUAAUUAGCUAUUAGAUUUUGAAUGAUAGAAAUAAGUGAGAAAUUCUCUAUUCAACUUUGACUCUCUCAUUCCGGUUGUUGUUUUUCUCUCUAUUACUUUGAAGGUAGCUGCUUCAUUAUUUUUCUUCUCAAUAUUAAAAGAAAUUUUGAGGUUCGAACAUAAACAAAUUAAAAAAUUCAUGAAAAGGGUAAAUUAUUCAUCCCACAAUUGUAUAGUCCAUAUCUACAUGUUGAUAAAAUGAAGAGUGGUGAUAUCCACACACUCCUCUUAAAUUUUAGUCGUCGGAUCAAAUUAAUUGAAAAAUAUCAAAUAACAGAAAUUAACAAAGAAUAUGUAAGAGGUAAAAAUAGGUGCACGAAUAGCACCACCCUAAAAUGAAUUGGAAGUGUAAUAUGCAUUUAAGUUCAAUUUCUGCCCCCUUCUCACAUCUUUCACUUUCUGCUCUGGUUCAUUGAAAUGGGAGGAUUAAAUUUAUCUAACUCUGUCACAUAAGCAUCCCAUUGAAUGUGCUUAGCUAAAAAUAAAUCUGCCACAUUAAUUAUUGCAUAGUGGGGAGCACCCUAAUUGCCAUAUAUGCAAAUUAAGUUAUGCAUAUAGGGAAUUGACUUUUCUAUCUGUGUUCAUGAAUCAUCAUCACCCAUUCACCCUAACCUAGCAUAUGGUGGUAGAUCAAUUACACUCAAUUUAGCAAAACAUUUAUAACUUAGUUAGUUAAGAAUAUUUACCUUUACACGUAAAAUUUUAGAUUUGGUUCUCUCAUUUUACCAUCGGUUGUAUAACGAAAUAGUACAACAUAACUUUACACAACUAGGAACUAGUUAGGCCUUAAUCUUAAUGUUUACUUGGUCAUGGACAUUGUCACUUGUGACCCACACACUAUUAAGGCUGUUAAAAGGGGGUGAAAAAGUAGAGUUAAGAACAUUUCUAAAAGAGAUGUCAAAAAUUUCACACAGACAUAUAACAAUAAUAAAUAAUGUAUUAUUUACUCUAGCCGAGAUGUCAAAAUUGACAUAAAAAAUGGGGCUAAGCUAACAUGGACAAGGAGAUGUCAAAAUUAACGCUGGGUCAAAUAAGGUUUUUGAUCCAAAAGCAUUUCAUUUGCCUUACCUUAAAUGCUAGCAUAUUUAAGUAUUAUUUUAUCAUUUUUGUUAUAAAAAAAACAUAAAUUAAGCAAUAGCCGUAUUAAUUUCAUCCAUCUCGUAAAGAUACAAAUAUAUAUGUCACCGGACUUGAAGUACAAGUAAACCAAAGUCCACAUGAUUUUACAAACUUAGUCCAUUAGAAUCCAAUUGAAUUCUCCUACACUAACACCUACCUAGAGAAAUCUUAAUUCUAAACCCCCUUGUCAUCAACGAUCAAAUUAGUGAUGCGUGCACGUGUGAUUUCUGAACGAUUUCUGUUUAACAACUAGUUAUAGCAACAAACUUUUCCUAAAUUCUCAAGUACGAAAUUUAAACAAUCUCAUUUAUAAUUAAAAAAAAAAUCCGCAUAAGCAACCAGUCUUAGCAAAUAAUAAAUUUGUGACUUCACUUUUGACCAAGACAUUGUUGGGAGUAUAUGGUAGAAACUAGAGAGUUGCCCGUUGGCUUUAUGAAAGACAAGUGAAGAAGUAAUGGUUUCUUGUUGUUUGGUUCUGGUUCUGGUUCAGUCGUCACUCGAGUCAUCAGAGUUUGGCACAUGCACGCCGUGUGACUCGCUUGACAUCAGCGUGAGACAGCCUAUAAUUAUUAUAAUUAAAUAAUUUAGUUAAAGUGAUUUGUUUUAUUUUUGGACAGAGUAGUUAAAGUGAUUAAAUAAGAGAUUUUAAGGAUAUGUCAGAAUUUGGGACCCUCGUGAAUUGGGUUUUUCUUUGGGGUUCAUCGAGUCAGAAGGCUGGUCCCUUUCAAAUAAUUGCUCCCGGGCAAAUCGCUGACCCUUCAAUCACCUCCCUUGAAGUUACCAUUAUAACCUUCACUUCUUCAUGGGAUUUUUAAUACUACUUGGGGGUAUCUCAUAUUAUGAAGUUUUUAACCGUUAAAUCUUAGUAAAAAUAUAAACACUAAAAUUUAACAGUUAAAUAACUCUAAGCGCUAAAGAAUUUUUAGCUUUAGGAGAUAUCCAAGAUACUUCGAUUCUAGCCUUCAAAGAAUUGCAACAUGUUUUUGUUUUAUGUAACAAUAAAUACUAGUUAGUACGCAUGAGCAUCCCAAUCAUGCCAUGAUCAGAAGAAAAACUAACAUAUACGCUGAAAUGUGUAUUUCUUUAUUUCUAUAAUAUUCAUCGCGUGACGAAAUCCAAACUACAAGCUUGUGACCAGGACUGGCCCAUGCUCAGUGCAGGCAAGGCGACUGUCUGGGACCCAAAAAAAUUGGAUGCAUCAAAAUUAUUAGGGUGAUAUAUUUAUAUAUGUUUUUAUAAUAAUAUAAAUUUAUAAAAUUUGGUUUAGUGACAAAGAAAUUUAACUAGAAUUGGUGAUUUUGUUGUUUAAAAUUAAUGAGGAGGUUUUAUGUUCAAAACACCAUAUGUGCUUAUUUACAUUCCAAUUUUUACAAAUUUCUUUUUAUAACAGUAUAUAUUUAUAAAAUUUGGCUAAAUAAUCAAGAAGUUUAAUUAGAAGCAUUGAUUUUUGUUGUUUAAAAUUAACGAGACGUCCUCAUUUCGAAAUGCUAUGUACAUGUUUAUUUUUUUCAAUUUUUACAAAUUUUUGUUUGGUUGUUAAUUUAUUUACUAGCUAGUAGAUAUGUGAGUUGAUAUUUUUAAACAUCUGUUCCAAUUCAAGUCUAAUCUUUAACAAAUAGUAACGCAUAGACUAAAUUUUUAGACCAAAUUUGCAAAUAAUAUUACGUGUCAUCAAAAGGUUUAAUUUAAUGUUCAUUCAUUACUUAAAAACUCGAAAACAUUAUUAUUUUUUUAGUCUUAUAUUGACGAAGUUAGUAAUAAGAAAAAAUACCUCAUGAUUUAUACAAAAACACUUUAAAAGUUUAGAUGGAAAACAAAACUCAUAAUCUAUCUACUUGUAAGCUCGAAGUUUUUUUAUUUCUUUUUCUCGAUACAAAAUAAAUUAGUUAUUUUGUGUUUCUAAAUUAUUGAGUUUGAAGUGUUUUUCUAAAUAUAAUUUUAUCAAUAUCUUAUAUGUGAAAACAAAUAAUUUUUUUAUAUGAAGUGAGGGCACAUUUUUCGACGUCACUCAAGACCUCAAAAAUCUCUAGACCGACCCUACUCGUAACUGUCAACUAGAGACUAUCAAACAAUGUCAUACAUAUAAUUUAACAAAGAGUUUUGUUUACUGUACAUGAAUGGUCAUGAGACUUUGAUGGUAGUCAUGAGAAACAAAUGGUCAAGAGGGACUCACAUGGGAACUUGGGCUUGCAUGGUCAAGAAGAAACGUUAACAAGUAAAAUUGUAAAAAGAGCCAGAAACCCUAAAUAAUAAAAAAGUAAAGGAAACAGCCAAGUCGUUCGUUCCAGUGUAUUGGACGGAGUCUCUCAAAACUUGUAGAAUAGAGACGAAUUAGCAUUCAGCACCGGCCUCCUUGCAUCUCGUGAAAAGUCUCUGUAAAAUAGUAUCACAUAACGUAAAAUCAAACAUUCACGUUUGCUGCAAAAGCAUCUCUCUGUACCGUACGUGUUUCUAAACCCUAGCUGUUGCUGCAGUUCAUUUGUUUAUGUUGGGUUUCAUUUAUGUACAAUUGUGAAUUUGGAUUCGAGUUUCCUGGGAACCUCCCCAAGCAAUACACUAUGCUAUCCACCCAAUAAACAGUAAUCGUUUUUUGCAUCUCUACCGUUGCACUUCAAUAGCCAUGGCAAUAGGCAAUAUAAUAUUAGCAUUUUUUUUAUUUAUAAAAUAAUACAAAAUAAUUUUAUUUGUAAUUUUAGAUAAGAUUUUUAAUCGUUCUCGUUGCAUUAUGUAUCAUAAAAUCCGAAAAGACAAUUAUUGGUGAUAGAUUUCUGAUAAGAUUUUUAAUUGUUCUCGUUGCGCCACAUGUAAAUCCGAAAAGUUAUAAAAUAAUACAAAAUAAUUUUAUUUGUAAUUUCAUAUAAGAUUUUUAAUCGUUCUCGUUGCAUUACGUGUCAUAAAAUCUAAAAAAACAAUUAUUGGUGAUGGAUUUCCGAUAAGAUUUUUAAUCGUACUCGUUGCGCCACGUGUCAUUAUCUGAAAAUACAAUUAUUGGUGAUGGAUUUCUGAUAAGAUUAUUAACCAAUCACGUCGCGCCACGUGUCACAAUCUUUGAGGAUAGAUUUCCAUCAUAUUUUUAACGAAUGACAGCAUGCCACGUGGCAUUAUCUACAACCUAAUCCUUUUUUAAUCCUCCAUAUAAUCCACCAUCUAUCCUUACAAAUCUCACACCAAUUUUCUCAAUAUAUUUAUCAUUAUUCAUAGUUUCUGCUUCAUUCUUCACCAAAAUCUCUAUCAUUAUUCAUAGUUUUUGCUUCAUUUUUACAAUGUCUUCUUCUUCAAGGAUGAUGUGGGAAAUCGAUCAGCAAGAGGAAGAAUUGUUUAACCAAUCAGAAGGAAUGUUCAAUCUCCAAGUGGCCCAAAAUGGGAGGGAAGAGGAUAAAUAGCGUAGAAGGAGAGAUGACGAAGCAAGAAUGGGCAGAGCCUCACAUUCUCAUCAAGUCAUCCAAGCUAUGGGUCAUAUCUCCAGGCCCAGCCGUUCCAGAAACCUUGAUAAAAGCAGGCAACGACUAGGUACAGAACUCUUGGACGAUUAUUUUGUCCGUAAUAGUGCAUUCCCUGAUACGUACUUUAGAUGUAGUUUUAGAAUGGAACGACAUUUGUUCAACAAAAUCAUGAUUGUUGUUUGCAAAACCAUGAUUCUUACUUUAUGCAAAAGAAUGAUGCUUUUGGUGCUAUGGGUCUCAUUCCUCAGCAAAAAAUUAAUGCUGCCUUGCGAAUGCUUGCAUAUGGAGCAUCUGCAGACCAAGUGGAUGAGAUAACAAGGAUGGGGAAAUCAACCAUUCUUGAGUCCCUGAUGAGGUUUUGCGAAGCAAUCGAAUCUAUCUACGCAGCAGAGUACCUCCGGAAACCUACUGACAUGGACUUGCAAAGGCUUCUGAAGAAGGGCAAGAUGCAAGGUUUUCCUGGGAUGAUUGGAAGCAUCGAUUGUAUGCACUGAACUUGGAAAAACUGUCCAAGUGCAUGGCAAGGCGCUUAUGGGGACAGAAAAUGAGCAAAAAAUAUCAUUUUAGAGGCGGUGGUAUCUUUUGAUACAUGCAUUUGGCACGCCUUUUUUGAGGUUCCGAGAGCUCAAAAUGACCUCAACGUCCUUGCCCAAUCCUCAAUGUUCAACGAUGUCCUGCAAGGAAAGGCACCAAAAGUCACGUACUGCGUCAACGGACGUGAAGGAAAUAUUUAUGAAAACAAGUUCAUUUGAGCAACAUCUAUGCUUGUUAUUAACAAUUAAAAGGCAGAAUCAUGCUUGUAUACACUCAAAACCAAAACUUAACCCAUGAAAUUCAAAGCCUAGUAGUUAUGGUGAACCAAGACUAAACUCAAGAUUAAAGUAAGUUGAAAAAUCUUAUACCUUUGUUGAUUCCUCUUUGCAUAAGCAAAGGCUAAUCACCCAAGGAGAGGGCCUUCAUUCUUUGCUUCUUAGCUCCAUGGAUUUCUUAGAGGAUGAUGGUUGAAAGGAUUUUCCAAGUUCCCAAAAUAGAGAACCUCUAAUUUUUCCACACCAAGGAGAGCAUUAAUGAGGAGAUGAGUGACCUAGAGGAAGGAAGUUUGAUAGCUAUGUUCCUCUAGGGUGGCCGGCCUCUUAGAGAGAAAGGGAGAAUUUGUGGUCUCUCCAAUUUCCUCAAAGAAAAACCUUUUUGAUGAAAUGGCUAUAAAGUUGCCUUUAUACGAUCUCACAAUGGAGUGGCAAUCUUGCAAUUUAAGGCAAGUUCCCUACCCUUCUCUAUAUGGCCGGCCUUUAGGGUUCGAUGGGCUUUCAAGCCCUUGGUGUUUUCAAGUUGGCAUACAACUUGAGUUAAUGGGCUUGACAUUCAAAUCCCAUUGGGCCUUGCGGCCCAAAACUAGCCCGAGGUCUAUAACGAAUAUAUUCGUUUGAUUAAUUAACAUAUUAAUUAAUCCUAGUCAUAAAUAAUUAAACUAUUUAAUUAUUCUUACUCAUCUCCAUUGUCUCUUAAAUCUCUACCUUACACGGUGUACGAUCUAUUAGGUUCAUUUUAACAAGGCAGUGGGCGAUUUGAACUCUUCGAAUCGAUUGUGAAUUGAAACAUACUUUCAAUUCUCCCAUUAGUGUUUAUACACGUUUAGGGCUUCCACAAAUCAUGAGUGACACCUAGCAAUAUGUCAUGGUUACCCAAGCUAAUCAGAAAAGGUGGAGAACCUAUUCAGUUUAGGAUUACAAUGCAAUACGGUCUUUCUCUAAUACAAUACUGUUGACCACAUUGUCUUGUUUGAUAAUUUAUUCAUGUCUACUAUCCAAUGUGAUUCUUUUACUUAUAUGAUUACCUUGAACUUGAUUUGGAAUGACUUCCUAAAUCUCAUUCAUACUCUAGCCAGAGAUUUUUAAUCCUAUCAUAGCGUAUUCUCCCUCAAAUGGUUUAAAGGUUAGAGAUCCCUUAUUGCGCAUUCACUUGCCUCCAUGGUUAAGUGGCUUAACCCCAACCAUCUCAUGGACACCCUCUAACAGAAUGACUUUGACAUAGUCAAAGAUCAAGGACCUAACCACAAGACAACUAUGAUGCCUUAGGUCAAAGGACUACUUUGCAUUAUCCCAACCAUGAGUUCUCAUGUGACAUGAUUAUGAGAACUCCUUGUUGAUCGCAUUCAGUGGACUCAAUCUCUAUUGAGCACCUACGUACUUGUCUUGGUGUCAGUCACACCAAUGACUCAAGACCAGUCACUCUUCCUAAUAGAAGACAUAGCACGUAUUGAUCUUAACGGACUGUCAAUGCCCAAUUGGCAAUCCUAUGAUCAGGAACAUUUAGGAUAUAUAUACGAAAGAGAAUGGUCUCAUGAAUCUAACUUUUUUAGAUCACAUUCUCCCAAUUACAUAUUCUUUGGACUUAUCGUUUAAGCAUAUAAUAUUUAUAUGAGAUGGCUUCAAACAAUAAUCUUUGCCCUUUAUAUUAAACUAGAUUAGUUUAACAUGUGAAAUGUCCAUAAAGUAUCAUCAUAUGAUUGGUUUUAGGGCACAUUUCCAACAGGAUGUAUGUACGACGGGCCAUACUACCUAGCAGACGGCAUUUACCCAAGGUGGUCAACAUUUGUCAAAACAGUGCAAAGGAAAAACAUUUUGCAAGCUAUUAAGAGAGGUGCAGGAAGGAUGUGAAGCGUUGUUUUGGUAUCCUCCAAGCUCGUUGGGCAAUCGUCAGGGGUGCUGCCAGAUUGUUUGAUGUAGAGUCACUUCGAUCCAUUAUGAUGACGUGCAUCAUUCUUCAUAACAUAAUUGUGGAAGAUGAGUACGAUUAUGAUACCGUUGAUGAAUAUGAGCCAGACACGAUGAACAAUUCAAGAACACGUAUAUAUUGUGCUCAUGAUGCCAUCGAAUAACCCGUGUAACAUGAGCCAUUAUAAAGAGAUGGACGUUACAAUGAAUUGAUCAUUCAACGAUGUACUGCACUUCAAAGGUCAUAUAUGCAUUAUGCCCGACAAAUUGAUUUGAUAGAGCAACAACAACAACAAAACAUUUUCCCACUAAGUGGGGUCGGCUAUAUGAAUCCUAGAACGCCAUUGCGCUCGGUUAUGUGUCAUGUACUCCGUUAGAUCCAAGUACUCUAAGUUUUUUCUUAAGGUCUCUUCCAAAGUUUUCCUAGGUCUUCCUCUACCCUUUCGACUCUGAACCUCUGUCCCGUAGUCACAUCUUCUAACCGAAACGUCAGUAGGCCUUCUUUGCACAUGUCCAAACCACCGUAACCGAUUUUCUCUCAUAUUUCCUUCAAUUUCAGCUACUUCUACUUUACCUCGGAUAUCCUCAUUCCUAAUCUUAUCCUUUCUCGUGUGCCCACACAUCCAACGAAGCAUCCUCAUCUUCGCUACACCCAUUUUAUGUAUGUGUUGAUGCUUCACCGCUCAACAUUUUGUGCCAUAUAACAUCGCUGGUCUUAUUGUGGUCUUAUAAAAUUUUCCCUUGAGCUUCAAUGGCGUACAACGAUCACACAACACGCCGGAUGCACUCUUCCACUUCAUCCAUCCAACUUGUAUUCUAUGGUUUAGGUCUCCAUCUAAUUUUCCGUUCUUUUGCAAGAUAGAUCCUAGGUAACGAAAGCGGUCGCUCUUUGGUAUUUCCUGAUCUCCGAUCCUUACCCCUAACUCAUUUUGGCCUCUAUUUGCACUGAACUUGCACUCCAUAUAUUCUGUCUUUGAUCGGCUUAGGCGAAGACCUUUAGAUUCCAACACUUCUCUCCAAAGGUUAAGCUUCGUAUUUACCCCUUCCUGAGUUUCAUCUAUCAACACUAUAUCGUCUGCGAAAAGCAUACACCAAGGAAUAUCAUCUUGAAUAUGUCCUGUUAACUCAUCCAUUACCAAUGCAAAAAGGUAAGGACUUAAGGAUGAACUUUGAUGUAACCCUACAGUUAUGGGGAAGCUUUCGGUUUGUCCUUCAUGAGUUCUCACGGCAGUCUUUGCUCCAUCACACAUAUCCUUUAUAUGAUGGAGCAAAGACUGCCGUAAGAACUCAUGAAGGACAAACCGAAAGCUUUCCCAUAUAUGUAGGGUUACAUUAAGGCUCAUACUUAAGUCCUUCAAAUGCCAUAUAUGCACAAUGCCUGGCAAAUUGAUUUGAUAGAGCAUCAGUGAGAAUUGAAACAAGCUCAAGAUACUUAAGUUCAUUUAGUGUGUUUGUUUGUUUGUUUUGUUUUUUUUUUUUUUUGUGUUUAUUUAAUUUUAUUUGGUGUGUGUUUUUAGUUCAUUUAGUGAGUUUUUUAUUAUUUGGUAUGUUUAUGUGAUUUUAUUUGGUGUGUUUAAAUGUCUUUUGAAUAAAGAUUCUAUUAGUAUAAAUAAGUUACCAAAUUAAAUAAAUAUACUCUUAGUUUAAAUAAAGUACUAAAAUCAAUAAAUUGGAAAACAAUAUAAAGUACUCUAUUCAAUAAAUAAGAAAUUACAACCCAAAGUGAUUGGAAAAUUAUGGGCUCCGAUUACAAAAAAUACUCUAUUCGUCAUCACUUAACCAAUUGUGGUGCUAGGAUGAUCUUCACUUGUCGUGCUAGGACCAUCUCCUCUUGCUCUCGCUUCUCUUGCACGCCUCAUUCGCACCACUUCCGCUUUCUCUGACUUCCAAAAAUAUUUAGAAUUUGGAGACUUCCCUUCUAAAGGCGUGUUCAUAAUGUCACGAUCUCGUUGAGCCAUUCUUUCUUCUCUAACAUGUUCCCUUUCUUGCCUAAGUAGCUCUCUUUCUCUCUCAUUAGCUUGAAAUGCUCUCUCAACAGCUGCACCUUUUGCCUCCUCUCUAGCCUUAUCAGCCUCAAAUUUCGCCAUUUCCCGCGCCAAAGUCAAUUCACCUUGGUGAGCAAGUUCUUCCAUAUACUUUGCAUAAUCAUUCUUGGAAGCACUCCAUUUUCUCUUUGAAGCCUUCUUACCUUGAUGCCUAAUUGGAUAACGGGUCGAUCCCGACACUUGUUCAGGGGGGCGUUUCGGGCACUUCUUCUGCUUCAUCUUCAUGAACAAGUGAGGCAUGAACGGGUGUAGAGUGUAGAGGGGUGCUGCUCAUGAAAACUUCUGGACCGACAUGCACAACUUUGAAUUUAGGACAAUCUUUGACAAUAUUCCAACAUUCCCACCGGUUGAAUGAUUUAUUUUUGCUUUUGGUUUUGGCACCAUACCAAGCUUGUGCUUGAAGUUGCUACACAAUGCAGGAUAAGAAAUAAGGGGUGUGAUAUCCACACACCCCUUUUUACUUCUCACACACCUUUCUAAGUUUCGGUCGUUGGAUCGGAUGAAUUGAAGAAGAUUAAGGAGUAUAAAUUAAUAAGGGGUGUGUGAGAAGUAAAAAGGGGUGUGUGGAUAGUACACCCCAAGAAAUAAUUAUAAUGAAAGUAGGUAACAAAUAAAUAAUAAAAACAAAUAAUUAUAAUGAAAGUAGGUAACAAAUAAAUAAUACAAACAAAUAAUUAUAAUGUAAAUUUGGGUAUAGUACAAAUAAAUAAAUAAUAUAUUGUUACCUGAUCCGCAUAAUUUUCUCCACUUCGAAGAUUAGCACUAGUUUGUGCCAAGGGGUCUCUCCACGUACUAAACGAUUGGCUAAGUAAUUUCCAACGACUGGACAUCGAUUCUUUGGUUCUUUUUCCACCCAUUUUCUCAAGAUAAUGGUAUGAAUAAGACUCCACAUUUCACGCAACUGCAUCUCAUUACCCGUAAGCGAACUAUGAGUAACUUCAACCCAGCUAGAACACAACCCAACAUCUUCAAGAAGCGUCCAAUUUGUACCUGCAUCAGUUGUCAUUUUGUUGAAAAAAAUUAGAUUGAAACUUUGAGAGAAAGAUAAGAAUGUGGUUUAAAGUAGUUGAGAAAAUAUGAAAUUGUGGUGUAAGGUAAAUGAUAAUGAGAAGAUAUUUAUAGAAAAGUAAAAACAAUUUUUUUUUCGGAUUUUUAUUCAUUUUUAAAAUUUUUUUUAUUCAACUAAUUAAUCUCUGCCGUUGGAUUUAAAAAAAAAUUGAAUUCCAACACUCCAGAUUGUGCCACGUGGCACAACAAUAACAUUUCUGAAUUUUAAAACUUUUUUUUAAAUUUAUAAAGGAGAAUAAUAUCAAUCGUUGAUCUUAGAUCCAACGGUUGAUAUUAAAUAAGAUUUUUUUUUUUUUUUUUUUACUGUUGCAAAUCUGACAAUCCACAUUUUCUUGCCGUUGAGAUCCAACGAACCAUGGGAAGCGACGUGGCUUCCCAAUUGUAACAAUUUGAAACUGCGCCACGGGCCCCAUUCACUGAAAACAUGUCGGGUGACACGCCCCCACGCACGGGUGCAGUGCACGCAUCUGACGGAAUCAAAUAAAAAAAGGGGCUGACGCUUGGCUGACGUCAGCCUUGCAUCAUAUAGCCUUCGGGCUCGCAGGCUAGCAAUUCGUGACAGGCCUGGUGCUCGAGCCUGCCCUAUCCCUCGGGCUCCCACAUGCUGUAGUCAAUAGGUCGGGCUUUCGGGCCCUAUUUGCUGGCAUGUCCCCCGAACUCCAGCCAACGUUGGAAGUGCUCUUAAUUCUGUUAGUCUCUCAUUUAUAGAUGAGAGCUUUACUUUAAAUUUAGGCUUAGUAAAAAAUUCAAUUUUGUUGUCAUUUAAUUCAUUACUACGUAAAUUGAUAUAGAAAAGUAAUGACGAAGGUGGAAAGAAUCACUCAUUUAAUAUGUACCAUAACCAAGGUUCUAAAAGACGUUAGACGCUAAUCGGGCGAUGGAUUGGGGCCUAGCCACCUAGACAAAUUUAAGUUAAUUUACUAUAUAUCGUAUAAAUAAGUGUCUGCUUAUAUUUAAAAACACAUAAUUCCAUUGGGAUAGAUCAAUUGAAAAAUAGAAAGACAUAGAUUAUAAAGUACUAGAAUAUAACGCAAAAUGAAAGUUAUUUAUUUUUUGUCAAAGUGAGAUUCGCGAUCUAGGUAGAUGCCUAGAUGGGUCUAGACAUGCUAGGCGGUUCUAGGCGCCAUUUCUUAAUUUUUAAACGCCUAGAGAAUAAUCGAAGCGGUGGUCAACUGCCUAGCACCUAGGUGAGGCCUAGGCAGCGCAAGUCGAAGAUUUUUAGAACAGUGAACAUGACUAUUCGUUCAAUGACACUUGAUUUUUUUCAUGUUCAAAGAUGCCCAAAUUCGAGUCUUCCUCCCCACUAGUACAAAAACUAAAGUAAAACUAAAAUAGACUGAUGUCCUUUAGUGAAUCAUGAAAAGUGAAUUAGCUGGAUUUACCAUGAGAAUACAUCAAUAAAUAAGGGUUGAAAAGGGUAGUCACUAUGUUUACCUCAAUAUUCAUCCAUCAUUGUUUGGCCAAAUAACUACCUAUCCUAUUGAAUAAAAUUGAAAGCUAUCCUACGUUGAGUGAGAGUUGCUGGUUUCCCGUUCCCCCAUCUUUGAGUGUUUCACCUGCUGUGGUUCAUUGAGAUUUUUCAACAGAAUUAAAGGGAGGAUGACACAACUUGGUUUACUAUGCAUUAAUAUGCUUAUAGUUGAAAAAAAAUGCCUUCAAUGUCAAGAGUGACGCUUAUCAAUCGAUAGGCCAGACUAACUCCAGAAAUCCGCCUUCAUGGACAUUUACAACAUGUUUAACGUCAAACUAACUUGCCUAUAAACAAAAAAAUGUGAGAUUGCAGGUUCGAUGCUCCGAGUUAAUGAGUCUACUUGACUGUAACCAUGAACAUGGUGAAAUUUCCCAUAACCUCUCCAAGCUCGAAAUGGUGGAUAUCCGUAUCUUACCACCAGUUGUCUCUCUUUUUUCUUAAAAGAAAACGUGAAACUAACUUGGUAGCAUGACUACACAAAAUUUGUUUUAAGUUUUGAGUACUAGAAAUAAGAUAUAAAGUGCUACUGAACCUCUGAUAAAAAAAAAUCGGGUAUUCCUUUAAACAUCUUUGCACCAAACAUCUUUGCACCAAAUGCUACCAAAGUUACAAUGCAAUCACUAAAAUGCUUUACAAUGGGUGAACUGAGAAGGAAAUCAUAUUCCAAGGCAAAGGAGAAUAAUUACCUCUCCUGUGAAGGCAAUGCUGGCUGACGUUGAAACAGGCUUAAAAUAAAUAGCAGUAGUAUCUAAAAUUUUACUCUAGCGAAUGCCAGCCUUAUUGAGCUGAUGACUCCGUCUUGAUUGAAACAGUAACUCACUAUGUUAGUUUUACUUAAUCUAAAGUUUCUAUCUGAUUAGCGACAUUGCGUCCCAGUCAGUGUGAAGAGGUUUUCCCGUAUGAGCCAUACUGAUCCAGCAACGAUAUAUGUUCAGGAGAUAACAUCAGUGCACCACUACUUAAGUAGUGCGGAGCAACCCUCCUCCUGCGUUAGAAAGUCAUGCGGUUAUGUUAAACUCCUGCAUGGGAAUUGACAAUCUUUGUUUUGAAAGGCUGCAACGAAGCCAAUUUAACAUUGAGAGUACAUACCUCCUACUUCUGGUGGUCUUCUCAGCUCCUUCUGAUAACCGAGAAGCUUCUGAUCUUGAAAUGUGGCGCAGAGAAGAAAGAUACUCAUGGUGUGCACCACCUCUCAAAUUUGAGUACGUUCUUGAAGGUACAAUUGACUGAAUUACAUCAAAUACACGUGAUUGGAUUUCACUGCAGUGCAGACACCAUGAGUGAUUAGAUGAGUUAAAAGACAUAUUUGCAAUCAUUGAAAUUAAUGCAUGCCCGUGUUACAGAAAAAAUGGUCAGGAAACGUGAACAUAGGUAAAUUGAACAAAUAAAAAGUUGAACCUAUGAAUUUAAAAUUCAUCCAAGAGGUGACAAUUACAAGCAUUUCAAGACAGCAUCAUGAAUUUAAACAGUUUUCAGACAUUUUUCCACAGCAAGGAAGUUGAGCCAAAUACCUUGUCGCAUUUGGCAGGAACGUCUCUGAAUUUCUUUCGGCAGAUGAAUCCUUACUUGCUCUCAUACCCUUCCCAAUUAACUUACUGAAUGCCAUCGUACUGGCUGUGUUAGCCAGCAUUUCCCCAGCCAAAUCCACCCUCCCUACACUACCUUCUUUUGAUCCUACAGAAGAAAUGCGUUUUGCAUAGAAGCAAAACCCAUGCUGUGCAAUUGUAGACGCCAACAAUAAUCGCUCAUCACACCAGCUGUAUGCAUCUGACUCCUCCAAGGGGAUCAUUGAUAGUUCAAAAGAAUCCUGCAGAAAUUACCAAUUGCCAUUAUGAAAUGAAUAUAUAAUACAAAUAAUCAUCUAAUAUCCAACCCAAAAAGUAUUGACACUAACAUUUGUCAAUGAUUGGCAUUUAGAAAACAACAUGUCAGUUUCUGAGAUCAAAUUGCUCAUUUGAUCAGCAAGCAUGACAAUCUGAGAGGCAUUGGGUUGUUCGAAUGCAAUAUACUGUCUAAGAUCAAUGCGGGAGCCACGAAGUUUGUCCCAUGAAUCUUGUACUAAAUCUGUCACCGCUGAGGACUUUUGGCCCUGUAUAAACCGCGAGCCCUCAUUAAAAUCCAUGUGGCUACACUCAUCCAUCAACUGAUAAGCCCUUGCAACAGUCUCCGCAUGUUCCUUUUGAUUCUCAAACUCCUUGUGAGAAUACUCUGCAAUUGUAGCACAGCCACUUCCCCACUUAUCAGAGUUACCUUGUACGAAGGUUAGUUUAUUAAGAUUGCUGGCUCCACCAUGUAAUUCAUCGUCUAAAGAUACUCUUUUAAUGGCGUUGGCAAAAUGGUCAGAAGACACUGUUUGAGAAGAUAAUUCUGGCAUAUUAUCAAUUUCAGUUUCAGGAACAAAAGACGAUUCCGGUACACAUGAUAUAUCAACUGAGUUGCAAGUCUCGCUUAUGUGCACCUCGUCUGCAAGUUCUGAACAUUCACAAGGUCCAUCUAUAUUAGCCGCUCCAAAAAUAAGUAGCUCCUCAGAUAAUGGGUUAAUACCAAGGACUUCAUCGUUAGCGUUAUCUGUAACUAUACGAUAUCCAUUGGUCAUAAACUCAUCUUCAGAAUCAGACAUUACAACAGCUUGCAUAUUCCGAACAUGACGCCGACACGAGGAAAAUGGGGUACCUAAAUCGUUGGAAAACUCAGAAGCAGUAUCAGUUUGAGCUGUAUAGUGAUAGCAGUCAUGAACAGAGCCAUUCCUGCUCAGCAUUUCUACCUUCUUGGCCUCUAAACUUUCCAUUCCAUUACAAGGCAUGUCCAUACUGUAUUGCACUUCUAUCUCGUGAAGAUUUUCUUCAAUUACGUCCAUUGAUCUUGGACUUUCUUCCAUCAUGUAUAAUGCCUUUGUUAUCUCUUUCUCUACUACAUCAGAUAACUGAGAAGGUAAAUCCCAGGGUAACAUAUUUGGCAGCAUCAGAUGGCCAGCCUCAACAUCAAAUAGCAGGGAACCAUACCACUCUCGCAUUUUGGUAUCUGCAGAGACAAAUCCAAGAUUAUUUUUUUCUCUACGGAAUUCUCAAGGCAUAAACUUUUAUUGACAAAAAAAUGAGGGUCGAAUUGUGUGUAUAUGUAUACCAAUCUGUUGAAAAGGAAACUAGUGUCUAACUUAUCAUCUAAAUAAACAUUACUCAAGAAAGAAAUUUCUAUUGGCUUGAAUAAAUUAUCAAAGCAAUUGACAAGAAAAAAAAAUGAUAAAGGCAACGCACAUUCAUUGUUACAAUUCAUCCUCAGGCAACAUUGUAUACCUUACAUAUUUUGACAUUACAACUAGUUUACUAAACAUCUAAAUAAAUUAGAGGUGGUCAGCCUAAAACCGGUGCAUCAUAAUUUCUCAUUAAUAAUCCUUUUCUCACUCACUGCUUAAAAGAAGAUCCAAACUGUGAAUAGGCCCACUCCUGUCUCACAGCCCGUCUACCUAGCUAGGGACAUCAGUUUCCUAUCCUCAACACUAACUCCACCAACACAAUUUUAAACAAAUCAUCUUCAAACCUGACUAGUCCAUAGACAUCAAUAACCUUUUAUCAAAAUAGAAACACCCACCUCCACAAAAAUGAAAAACGACUGUGUCAUCCACAAAUUAUAAAUGAGACAGCACUCCCCUUGCCCACUACAAGGCUGUCAACAAUGUUGCACUCUCUAUCUCUCACUACCAAAUCUACUCAAAACAUGAAAGGUGGAGAAAAAAAUGGGAAAGAAGGUUCCUCGGUCCAAGCCUCUAGUAGUUUGAAAUCUCCCACAUUACCUCCUAUUAAUUAUUACUGAAAAUUUAAUUGUCCUUGAUCCCCCAAUAAUGCACCAUAUUUAUCUCCAUUGAGAACAUGAUCAAGGAAUCCCCAAUCAUCAUGGUUGUAUGAUUUUUCAGAGCCAAUCAAUCACUUCUUUUUUUCCAAUAGAAAGCAAAUCACGAAUUUGUCAAUACUUUGAAAAGAGGACACCGAUGCUAUCAGUAGGACUAGGGGUGAAUCCUCUUUUUCCUCGACAAAUAAUGCUCUUGGUCUAACUCCUCAAUUUAGAUAUCAUCUGUAAAAUAAACUCGAGUGAAGUACUAAACAUGUGAAUUCAUAUGGCCAGACAUUGAUUGGGAUGAAACCUUCCCAUUGCAGAUUAUGUGAAAUACCACAGGUAUUGUGAUUUGGUCAACAAAAGUUGCACAAAACCUUAACAGAAUAAUGUGGAAAAUAUAGAUCUAACUACAACUAACAUGUAAGCCUAACCUUUUCUAAAACUUCCACCCUGACACCAGAACUGAAGAUGCAUAAAGAUCUUCCGAAUAUCUCCCCGACAACACUCAAUAAGUCGCUCAAGAAGCAAAGGUUGUAUGUUGGCUCUCUCCGAAGCAGAAACCUGGAUAUUGACAUCAAAAUGAGUUUAGAAACAUAUAGAUUUCAAGUGACCCCUAAUGGAAAUUUGAAUCAGAAAAUGAUGCACUAGAAAUCAUACCAUAUAUGCAAGAGAAUGCAGCUCCUUUUGUGAUGGCAACGUGAAACGCACUUGUAAUCUAUCAAAACUGUCUGGCAGGACAGGAUUGUCACCUAGAAUUUAACACAAUCAUUAUAAGGUCAUGCACAUUUCAAAACACAAAAGUUCAAGAGUGCAACUAUUUCAACCAGUAAACCUCUUACUAUUGCUGGUCAGUAUUAUGGGCCCCUUGGCUGUUUUAGCUAUCUGCUGAAUUGCUGCAAUGAAACCACGAUCUUCAAGAAAAAUGAUGUCCACAUCGUCAAAAAGUAUAAGAUGUUUAACUUCGCUAUAAUCCUCCUUAGAGACGGAUUUUACAGAGGUUUCAGUUGCCUCAUGAGAAUCUUCAUCUGAUACGGCUAUCAAUUCAAUAACAUCAUCAGCCAUCUCAAGGUCUGUCAUACCAUUUGCAUCGACAAACAGGGAUUUCACUAUAGACUUGUUCUGUGAACCCUCAGGAUUUGCCACUGAUCUGAAGGAAAUAGUAUAUUUGAUAAACAAAGGAAGAAAAAAAAAAAAAAAUUUUAUGUUUAAAUCAGUCACCAAUAAUGAUAAAGGCCAAAACUCAAGGUGAGAACAAGCAAAAAUUGCCAACAGCAGGCAGUCUCUUACUAAAAGAACAGCAUUUUGAGUCUCUGACUAAAUAUAUUUAAAAUAAUUUUACAUUCUAGCGAGACAUAGAAGUGUCAAAAAGACAAUUUAAUUUACGAAAUAUGAAAGGCCCAACCACUGACAAGGCAUUGUAAAUGCAUCAAUCCAAAUUCAUCUGCGUUAAAAUCAUAUCUUAUAAUAUAACUUAUGAUCCCAAGGUAGUCUUUUUAACUAUAAAGGUGAUAACAAUUCAGUUAUCAUCAUCAGCAGCAGCACUUUCUAUUUUUUUGUUGAUAAGAAACAGACUUUUUCCAGAUGAAAGGGAAAGAGUAUAAUGGUGAUAUACGUCAUCAUCACUUCCAGCUGUGAAUUUCAAACAUCUUAAAAUUCCCCUCCAAGUGGAAUUGCUAUUUCACAAAUCAAAUUAUCAUGAAGUGAUGCUUUGGUCAAUAUUCUAAACUCUAAAAAUUCAGUUGUGGGGUGAAACUUAGUUAGGAGCGCAUAUGUAAGAAUCUUCAAACAAAACCAAAAAAUCCAAGUGAAUAAAAUGCCUUAGAGAUCACUGGUCACCACCAAAGAGAACAAAGAAAGGAAUUUGGCCACUCUUACAUUACACAGACACAGUAGAUAAAUAUUCAUUUCUGGGCAUUAUUAUCUUUGGAAUUGGAAUUUGGAAGCUCAACAUUUCUAUAUAAGUCAUCAAGGACAACUAGACAAGCAUACACUUCUUAUAUCAAUGACAUAAUAUAAGCAGCAACCAAAUAUUUUAUUUCUGGUACCAAUUUGACUCAGAAUCAUUAAAACUUGAGGACAGCCGAUGCUUCAGUAUAAACAGUUGAGAAUAUCGAGUUUAAGAAUGGGAAAAACAAAAUAACCAAGACAAAUAACACCGAGAAUUAACGUGGUUCGGCUGUAUGUGCCUACGUCCAGGGGCAGCAACAACAAUCUUUCACUAUAUCAAUAAUGAGUACAACUAAUAAUCUUGCCAAGUCUCUAGAAUUAAGACUUGACGAAAAAACCUGAAAUAACAAGAACAAGAAAUACACUCUCUCUUUUCUUUUCUCUCACACACACUUUACAAUAUUCUCUCACUCUAAUCCCUUGAGUGGUAUACAAUUUUUUGUUUUGCUCCCUAAAUUCAAAACUAGUACAAUAGCCCCUUUAUAUAGACAUAAUAAGGGUCUUCUUCAAUAAGGAUUACUUAUCCUAAUUGGAACCUAGUUAUGAAACUUUCUCCAAUUGAGAAACUAACUCCAAUUGAAUAAACAACUCCAAUUAGGAAAACAACUCCAAUUGGGAAAACCACUAAAUCUUCCAAGUCUAUAAUUCCUAAUAUACUUGGGACAACUCAUCAUGGGAUGGAAAACCCCAACAUAAACUUCCUCGGGCAUAAGAGACUUAGAAAUCGAGGGAGUACAUGCUUCAAUUAAAUUAUCCAGCUUAAGAACAUGAAAACAAAAGUAAACUCAAAUGUAAAGAUAAACAGGCAAACCUUCUAAAAUUGCGAGAUUUCAAAGCCUCUCCAAACCUCUGUUUUACAAGAGCCCCAUUCCGACAUUCUGAUGCACUGAGCUGGUAAGACAACAUAUUCGAAAAUCAACUCUGAUGUCAAUACUAUUAAAAUCCAAAAGGUAUAGUGAGAAAUUACACAAAACACCAGUUUUAGGUUCUUGGAUCAAGUUCCACAUAAUGAUGAGGCUAACUCCAUUGUUUGAACAGGAAGCUAAACUUUAACUUCACCAUAUACUGACCCAACCACAAGCAUCUAUGUUAAAUGUUCCAACAAACAAGCGCAAGCACCUUGAUGCAUUUCCUAAAUCUAGAGAUGCUUCGUUUAUUAUAAGGAAAGAGAAAUGAGGUACACGGAAACCAUUAAGGACGUCUUCAUCUCUAAGUCAAAAAUUCUGUCAUAAGUUGACUUAUCCAGUGAUCGAAUAUUAACAGUUUGAUGCGAAUCUUACUCUUAAUUCUGGAUCUCAAGAACCAUAAUUUAGCAUUGCAUGGUCCAACAUGAAAGUGAUAUCUAGGAGGAGAUAAGAACCAAUGAAGGCCUUAAAUUUGUAAAAGGUGGUCAGUAGUUAGAUGGACAGUGGCAGAAUUUGCAAUAUCUUGUUGUUUUCCUUUUAUUAGUACAAUGGAUAUCACACUACAACUAUUUUUUAUUUUUCUAUUUCUCUUUUAAACAGCAUGAUUAUUUUACAAAUUAAAACAAAAUAUUGGUCUAAUCAAUAGUUAAAAACAUGUCAUGUUAUGAAAAUGAAUAAUAGUUUGUUAAUGGAGAACUGCAGUAUGUUCAGCACAAGCAUAUUUUAAUCUCCUUACCUCCAAAACCUUAAAACCUUGCUCUUGGGCACAAGCAUAAAUAGCUGCAGAUUUUCCACUCUGCAAGAUGAAAAAACUACACUUAGCGCCAAAAAUGAACCAAAAGCAUCAUCAUAGAAUUUAUCUUUUUGUGUACAUAAUGAUUUUUGUGACAGUAGCAAACAGCCUCAUGGAAAAAAAUUUAUUAAAUAUUGAGGAUAGAGAUAAACUAGGAUCAGAACUAAAGAUGCUAGCCCCCAAAACAAUAGUACUAUAAGGAUUGACCAAUAAGAUGGCAUCCUCUUAGUCUUAAACAAGAGUAAAGAUAAGGUUAAUUAAUUUAAGGCCCUGUCAUCAUUCGAUAUUCUCUGGCACAAAAUUAUGAAACAAGAAUGAGGUGACAAAAUUCAAGGAGAUCAACUGGAUAAAAUAAAUUUGUAUAUACCCCAGUUGGCCCUGUAACUAAGAGAACAUUAUUCUUCUUCAUGCUUGCCUCUUCAUCUUCACUUUCUAAAUCAGAGCCACUUUGAGAACACCUAGUGAGAUCUCUGUUGGCUCGAAAAUCUCUUUCAUACCAAAGACGAAGCCACUCACUCAAAAAAUUCACAGAUUCAUGGUUACCACAUACCUGCAGGAUUAUGCCAUCGGAAGAUCAUAAGUUUAGGAGUAAUGAAUUAGGAAAUUGAAGGGGAAAGGGAAUUUUAUUUGCACUUAGGAAAAAAGUAGGACACAAGAAACUAUAAAACGCACAACUUUGGUAUCAAUAAGAUAUGGAUCCCUAUCUUACAUCAAUAGCCUUCAUUGGCCGGUACUUAUAUGUCCAUAAGCUAUUUGUGGGCUGAUUACCACAACUGGAAUAGUUUGACAUCAACCUGCAAGUAAUGAACCAAUAGAGUGAACAAUAUCUCAUCAUAUAUUGGUACGUUAGUUUAAACCGAGGGCAACACACAGGUUUGUAAUUGAUAAGAAACCAUUAUAUAAUUGUGUUACAAUUUGACAUAAAAAUUUGACCACAAAGUUCUUAAUUCACCAUACAAAUUCCCAAACAAUGCACGUAAAAAAUCUUCAACCUUUCCUCGAGAAUUUUCUGCUGCUCAAUAUCUGACUUCUUUAUAUAAGUGGUAUGCUGAGAAAGCAAAUCAACCUUAAGCAUCUCAUUAUCCUGACAAAAGAAAGAGCAAAUGGAUUUGGAAAAGAGUUUCUUUAAAAAUUAUUCAGAUAAGUGCUGAAAUAAAAUAUGCACCUCUACUUCCUUUGACUGCUGAUAGUGCAUCAAUUGCUCAUCGACUAAGAAGCCAGGGACUGUUGGUGAUAUAUCAUGAGCGAAUUCUUGUUGAAUACAAUGCUGAUCUAAGGAUACCACAUUCUGAAAAGUCGAUAAUUUGCAGGGUUGGAAAACAAUGGGAAGCUUCUCAAAAUUUAAGCACUCUACAGAGCCUUCAAAAAUUGAUGAGGACGUGCAUUCCAUGUCUGGACCACUUUUCAUAAACGUGUCCUCACAAAAUGUCCAGUUUCUCCAAUCAAGGAACACAGCAUCAUCCUGAAUAGUAGAAUUUAAAAUUCAUCUUAGGCAAGAAAACUGGCCACAAACAUUAAAUUUCAAGAACAGCUAAUGUGAUAGCUACACAAUAUUGAUAUACAUUCUGCACAUUGCUAAACCAAAAGAACCAUACCUGAGUCCUUUCAAACACAUGAAUCGGACCACUAGUGAUCUCUUUAUCCUUCCUCCCAACGUAGCUCAAAUCGCCAUCAACUUCAGUUGCCUCUCGCUUUCUUUUUCCAGCUUUACAAAUUGAAAAAAAUGGAUGUAUUUGCUUUCCAGAAAACAUUCCUGAAAAUAUCCGUGAUGUUUCCUGAUCAAGCAUAAACAGAAGACACUUAGAACAACAAACCAAAGACCAAAGCAUCCACAAAAAUGACGCUAAAUAACCCAAUUUCCAAUCUAAUAGUCCAACCAAUACAACAACAAAGAAAAAAAAUCAAAUUAAAGAAUAAGUUGGGGUUAUAUACUGAUAUGGGUUGAGAUGAAUUGAGCAGAAUGCAAUACCAAAGAGCGUUAUAGCAGAAACACCGGUACAUAUAAGGCAACUGGAUAAGAAAAUAAGACGAAAAACAGAAUUAUUGACCUCAGCUUUCAAUCUAGCCUCUAGCCUCAAAUCGGUGACUACUCGAGGCGCAUCUUCACUCUCCACUUCAGUUCCAUUAAUCUUCUUCUUCGGUGUACCAUUCGUGGAUCGCUUACCGUCCUAAAUUCAAAAACAAUAACACCAACAAUUUAAUUCAACAAAAAAAAACACUAAUUUCAUAUUCAAUCAAGCCAAUCACAAAUGUACAAUAAGAAUUAGAACAAAGCUCAUCAAUUACCCAAAAAAAUACACAAAAUUCACCUUCUUCGGGGCUUUAACGGGAGGCGUCUUCUUUCCCUUUGACUUCCUCUUCGUUUUACUUUGACUCCCACAGAAGUCCUCGUCGUCGCCGUAUUCGUCGUCACCAGCAUUACCUCUCGCGGCCUUCAGAUCGCCGUUUACCUCGAGCUGUUGCUGGGGUUUGAGAGGGAACAAUGUGGUCUGGACCAGUUUCCGGCGAACGACUUGCCGUUUAGGCGUCGUCGGCGACUCGUUCUGAGCUGAAUCGGCCAUCGAUUGGAUUGGGAAUUGUGAAUUGGGGGAUUUGGAAUUGGGUGGUGAAGUUGAAAUAGGGGGUUUUGUAGGGAUUUUAGGGAUUUGGGGAGAAAGACUGGUAGAGUUUGAGUGUGCAACGGAAACGUGAUCUUACGGAGACAAAAAGGGGUAAAAAAGAGAGGAAAAUUAUGGGGGGAACGAGGACGUACUUCCCGCCUUUACGGGAGGGAAAUUCGUUUUGGCUUUUAAGACAGAUGUUCACGUUAAUUCAAAUUACGCAUUAGGAUGUUUUGAUGCAGAUGCCUAGUGUUUUUUAAUUUUAAGAUUAAACAUUCAUGCUUUUUCGAGUUUUGAUUAAACAUCUUUCUACAAUUUAGGUGCCACAUGUAUUGGAAGUAGCCUUUUUUUAUAAUGAAAAAUUACCCAACUUGCCAUUAUAUUUACUGUACGUUUUGAUUCCUAGAUAUUAUAUCAAAACUCUUAAAAUCUAGUAGAUAAUGUAGUAUUCAAUUUUAAUAAAAAGUCUUUCAAAUUACCACAUGAAACAUGAUGUAUGCUCUUCUUCUCCUUCCUUACAUCAAUGCUUUCAAACGAAAUUUCUAUCGUACCAUAUUGAAAUUUCUACCGUAAUUCAAUAUAAUUUUCCUUCUAUAUUUUGUAAUGAUUUAGCUUUUUUUCAAUGUUUAUUUCAGAUAUGUGCAUUUGAAUUCAAUCAUGUUUGUAGAAGAUGUGCAUUUGAAUUCAAUCAUGUUUGUAGAAGACAUUGUCCAUUUAUUUCGUUUGGAUGCUUUUCUAUUUGUUCUUUGUUUAGUGCUUUCGAUUAAUCGUAUAUUUCUUCUUGCUACAUAUUUGGUGCGUUACUUUAAUAUUGUUUUGAUAAAUAUUUGGUACGUUCGUAUUUCUUUUCCAUGAAAAUCUAAGUUAAGAAGUCUACGUAUUGCAUUUAUUAAUGUGGAUACGGCUUGCAAGAGUCCCGUUUGUGAUGGACUCAUAAACUAGUAAGGGCACUUCCGUCUAAGCAACAACCUAAUAUCUUCACCAUGUUGUAAUGGUUAAUUUGUGAAAUCAAAAUUACCUAGUUAAUAAACUUGCGUUUGGUACAUUAUAUAUAUUUUUGGUACGUUUAUAUUUAUUAAAAAAAAUAUAAUUGGUACAUUACAUAUAUCAUAUGGUACGUAUUUGGUACAUUUAUAUUUAUUUAAAAAAAUAUUUAUUUGAUAUAUUACAUAUAUCAUCUGUUACGUAUUUGGUACGUUUAUAUUUAUUUACAAAAAAAAAAAUCAAAGAACAAACUGAAAGAUAUCUUAAAGAACAAAAUUUUGUAUACUUAAUGAAUAGAGUGAGUAGUGCACGUUAAGAGCAACUCCACCCUUGGAGCCCUUCCCCCUGGCAAUUCACUAUUGAAUCCAUCCUAUUGAACAGUAAUUGCCUUUAAUGAAUAGUAACUACCAUUAAUGAACAGUAAUUACCUUUUGCAUCUCCACCCUUGGAGCCCUCCCCCUGGCAAUAUGUAAUAAAAUAUUAGUUUUUUUUUUGUUUGUUUAAAUAAUAUAAAAUAAAAUAAAAACAUUGGAAAUGGGGCUGCAGGCCCUCGGGCUGACACAAAAAAAAUUAAAUAAUGUCUGGCCCUCGGGCUACAGGCUGGUGGAUUCCUUACGGGCCUUGUGCUCGGGCUCCCACCCUCACUCGGGCUCUCCAUGGCUGGAGCACUGUCCACCGGGCCUCAGGCCCUUUCUUCUCCCUUGUCCCCCGAGCAAUCCACAUGGGUGGAGUUGCUCUAAUGUUUAUAGAGACUACAACAAUAAGCCUUGUCCUUGUGGGAUAUGAACUAAUUAUAUGAGACAUACACGAAUUACAAUUCAAUGUAAGACUAGGACUCCUUAUCCGUACUAAAAGCAGCAUCAGUAUCACAAGAAGAUUGUACAGCAGCAAGCAUAGUUGAUUCAAACUUCGUUGGCUUAUCACAAACAACAGGGCAAGUUUUUGCUCUCUGACUUCCUCCAAUUUUUCACUUUCCAUAUUCGUAGCUGCAAAACAGGACUUGGCAACUUCAGGAGGGAUUUUAACGCUAUUCCAAAUAGAAAGAGUGCCUACAAACCUGAAAACCAAAGGGGUAUCAUCUUUAUUUGCAAUUUGGAAAACUAAUGAGGUACAUAUCAUUUUUGUCCUUGAAUUUCAAACUUCAAAAAGCAUAUCCCCAGAAAUUUUCCGAAUGAAAAACUCUCUCCACAAAUUAAAACGACAAACUAUAGCUUGGAAGGCAAAACAUCAUAGCUUUUCUUUCUAAAGUAAUAAUUUAGAGCAAUUCUAUAUUCACAUAAAUUACUAAAAGCCUAAGAAGAUAAUCAACGUACCAGCCUCUUGAUAAACCUAAAGCAGUACAGAAUUUUGCUGAAACCUGCUCAACGUACCAUUUUCAAACCACCGAAAACCAAGAAUGAAGUAGCAGAAUAAUAUCAUAUAUACGUCUAAUUAUCUCACACGACAAGAAGAUAAAAUUGUGAAAAUAACCACUAAUUGAAUUGCAUAAACCCAUUCAAAAUUCAAAAAUGGGAGAUCACAAAUUCAAAUGUGGUAGAAGAAAUCCAUGUUCUCAAAUUCAACAAAUCAGAAAUUACUUCCUACAAAAAAGGUCACGUACAAUUAAAUAUCAGCUGCCAAGGAUAUAUUUGGAAUUCAAUAAUUAGCAUUUUAAUUCUAAAAAAAAUACAAUAAUGACGUGUAUUUAAAUAAAUAUAAAAAUAAUGAGGUGGCUAUUGUUUAAAGCUGUAACAUCCCACAUCGCCAAUAGGAGUGAUCCUUAAAUGUAUAUUCUCAUCCCUACCUAACACGAGGCUUUUUGGGAGCUCACUGGCUUCGGGUUCCAUCGGAACUCCGAAGUUAAGCGAGUAGCGCACGAGAGCACUUCCAUGAUGGGUGACCCACUGGGAAGUUCUCGUGUGAGUUCCUAGAAACAAAACCUUGAGGGCGUGGUCGGGGCCCAAAGCGAACAAUAUCGUGCUACGGUGGUGGAACGGGCCCGGGAUGUGGUGGACCCCGGGCGGGGAUGUGACAAAAGCGCCUUAAUCAAAUUUUAAAAUAAAACCACUGUUUGAUCUAAAAAGUACUAAAAAAAUACAAGGGAUUCUAAUUUUCUCAAAAAUGAAAUUGCAUUGUAGCUACAUUAAGGUUCGAAAAAGUAUUAUAAUUAAUGUACAAAUAUUUCUUUAUGAUCUGAGUAGUUGUAACAUGUUGGUAGAUGCCAUUCAUGACACACCCCGUCUCGAAGGAAGGCAUGUUGGCUGUCACGUGAGAGUGACGUAACCAUUUGCACAGUUCGGAAGCUUUAAAGAUACAAUUACUAAGAGGUAACACCCGAGGGUGAAUCCUAUUUUUGUGAAUUCUGUCAGAACACCAUUGGAUUCCUCGUGACCACCAAAACUCUGUUAUCUUAAACCUGGAAGGGCGCAAAACAAAGUUGAGUGGGUCAGUAAAACAAGGUUUUUCAAAAAUCAUCUCAUUAUCAAAACGCUAACCCCUCGAUGUAAAACCCGUAUACUUUCCCAGGAAAAUAGUAUAUAUAUAACCAUAUAUAACAGUAAAUAACCCAAAUCACAAAUAUUUAACACUUUUCAAGAAAUAUGUCAUGCUAUGCUUCAAAACAUGAUAAGGAUGCAUCAAUAUAACAUGUGAAAUAAGGAAUCAACCGGAGACCCUGCAGUUGUCCUGUACGGUUAAUUCUAUAGCUCAAUAUCCAAUCCAACCGGAGUCACCACUGUGACCUGUAUGGCACUACUCUGCACAUAAAUCGGAACUACCUGAAGUAGUCUGUACGACAAGAAUUGGUGUAAGAAUACGCUCUAGUGCUUCUCUCAUCAACAGCUGUAUAAUAAUCUAAAGUCACCUACAAAUCGGAACCACCUCUAAUGGUCUGUACGACAUGUCGGAACCACCUCUUAUGGUCUGUACGACAUGCACCUACUUGGAUCCAAGGUAAGCGUAUGGUGCGGGGUAAGCACUAACACCAGGGGUGCAGGUUAUGAGCUCUCAACACAAUUCAUAUCAUUAAUAAUUCACAUGAACAUAUAAAACUCACCUGAUACUCACCUAUGCGUCCACAACACCAUUUCAUAUAUAUGCAUCAAAUACUAAUUCAUAUAAUUCAUAUAUUAUGUAUGCAUGGCAUUUUAAAACUUACUUUCAUAUAAAUUAAAUUUCUGGGAAAAAUCAGUAAUAUAUAGGUAUAAACUGAAAAUAACUGCCCACUCACCUGGAGUUUGCCCUACAACUCCCUAGCACAACACAUCAAGAUGUCAUGACGAUCGGCGCCUAGAACAAUCAUCAAAUCAAACCUCAUAAAUCAUAUCGAUAGAAUAUAUAACUUAUAUAAAACACGUCACUACGUAGUUCGAUCCGGAAGAUCUGCAACUCAGAUUUCCAAUCCAUAACUUUCAGAGGUCCACAAUAUAUCUCUAGAACAACAUCCUAAAAUUUCCGUACCAUCCAACGGUCGGAUCUCCGUCAAUUGUCAAAACCAAGUGACGGUUAACAUUCUAUUUUAUGAACUUACAACUCCAAUUCCGAAAGAUCCGUAAAUCAGAUUCCCAAUCCGUAAGUUCCUAUAAUCCUCAAAUAUUACGUAUUACAAUGUAUCAAAGUUUGGUGACGAUCCAACGGUCGAAUCGUCAAUUCACAUUUUCACCUAACCACAAAUCAUAACGAACUUAGGUUCAAUUACUCCAUUUACGUCAAUCAAUUAUCAAAACUGAACCUAGAACAUUAAACACAUGCUAAGAAUGACAUUGGCUGGCCACUGGCCACGCGCCGCCACACAGGCCGCCGUGGGUGGCGGUCGGCCACCCCGGCUCGCCGGAAAGUCCAACUAUUUCCAAAAAUUACCAAAAUUUACAGAAAUGAAGAUCUCAAUGAGUAGAGUAAACUUUAUACUUGUGGUCAAGGCCAAUUUGGCCUGGAAAGGCUCCAAUUCCAUCAAACUCGUGAAGAACCCUAGAAAUGGGUGAGUUCCAAUUCGUUCUCAAAUCAACUCCGCUAUCCCAACCAAUGCUUGGGCUUUGUUCUAGGCCUCAAGAAGAUGCUAUGGGUGGUAACAAUUGGAAGGAAUUGCUUCGGGAUUGGGUGAUUCGAAGCCCUUCUUGCGAUUUUCUCCAUUUUCAAAGCCAAAUCCCUCCAAUUUUGAGAUGGAAUGGAUAGAGGAAGGCUCCUAGAGUGUUUCCCAUGAGGUUUCUUGAAGUAAUUCGCCGGAAAAACGGGUGAAAAUCAUCGAAAAUAGGCAUGGGUGCCGAUCGAGUCAAGAAUGGGCCAAGGGGAUCUUGCUGAUCCCCCGCGCCACGCUCUCCCUCUUUUCCUCCUUUUCUCUGUCCGAUUGGCCAGGCUUCUCUCUCUCUCUUCUCUCCAUUCGCCCAACUCUCUCUCCUUUCUCUCCUGAAGCUCCUGCUAUCUUCCUCUGGUUGGGCAGCUGUGCCCAAUCUCUUCUUCUUCUUUUUCUUCACCAGUCACGCACACACACACACACACACACACAAAGCCUUCCUUCAUCUUUUUAUUUUUAUUUUCUUUCCCUUACAUCCAAGCCAUCCAUUUCAGAUUUCCUUUAAUCUAGGCCAUCCAAAUGGCACACCAAAAUUUUUAUAAUAAAAUUCAUAAAAUGCCCAAACUUUAAACUUUAAAAUCUUUUUCGUUAUAACUCCAAAUCACGAACCAUCUGCACCCACGCUUCCGUAGCGACGAGUACUACGAGGAUAUGUCAAGAAAACAAAUCUUAGAUGGCACGACACAAUGAUUAAUCUCGAAUAAUGCGCGUGCCUCAAAGGGCAUUUUUGUAAAAUCCUUUAUUAAAACUUUAAACACUCUUAAAAUCAAGGACGGGUUGUCACAACUCAUGACUUGUGAAAUAAAUUAAUAUAUUAAUUAAUUUCAAUGCCACCUUUAGUUAUAACCUUAGAUGUCACAUAUCUAUAAUAGUAUUUACAACAUUACAUGAAUGAUGAUAAGAUUUAAUUAAUUGUUAGGGGUGCUUAUAAAUUCCAAUAGGAGCAUUUUGCAUCAAAACUCAGAAGGGUGCGGUUAGGGUGCUUAUAAAUACCUCAUUUUUUUUCUUCUCAUGUUUUUAUAUAAAGCCAUGGGCCCAAUGAACAGUGUUUUAUGGUGUCACAAGCUUCACACAAAAAUAAUUAGACAAAAAUGUCUCUCAAAUAAAAAACUUCAAAAGCAAUCCAAAAUAAUACAUCAAAUGUGACAAGGAUAUUUUUAUCAUUUUAUUGGUGUUUUUUUAAUAAUUAAUUUUUUUGUACAGUUUAUUUAUUUUUAAAUAAUUAGUACCUCACAAUAGGUUAGCAAUAAUGUGAUUCAAUCAGUUGUUCAUUAAAUAUUAUUUUCUCUAUUUUUAAACACAUUCAAAAUGACACAUCCCGACCGAGAUUGAGACAUGCUGACCGUCACGUGAGGGUGACGUAGUCAUGUGCAUAGUGCGGAAGCAAUAAGGAUAAUAAAUAUACGAAUAAAUAAAAACGAAAGCUACUAAAGUGCACUAAUAAACAAGAAGUGUUAGGAGUGAGUUACAAGAGUAAAUACUCAUAAUCAAAGCAUAGAAAAUCUAGGUGCAGUCCAGUAGGACAAGUACUCAUUAUACAGUACCAGAAUAUGUCCUAAAAUAUUUUAUUAUGUCAGAAUCGCCAAAAUCCUUGUACGCCACCAACAGCAAGUCUACCUAAAACCUGGAGGGGCGCAAAACAGAAAAUGUGAGUGGGCAAAAACAAAUGUUUUUCAAAACCAUUUCAUCAUUAAAAUGCUCUAACCCCUUGCCAUAAAAUUCGAUACUAUGAGCCCGUAGGCAAAAACCGUUUGUAAAACAAAGUAAUAACGAAUGAAAUAGAAACGAACGAAAGUAGGGAAAAUAGUCAUUUUGCCAUGAUUUUGGGAAGGUUCCAAAUUUUGUUCUGGAUGGAAAUAGGCUACCAGAAAGAAGGAAUAAAAUAAAAAAUAAAAUAAAAAAAAGAGGAAGGGGGGAUGCCCAAUCGGGAAGAGAGAGAGAAGAGAAAGGGACCAAUGGAAAUGAGAGAAAGGAGGGAAAUGAGAGAGAAAAAAAGGGAGGGGGAACCGGGUACCAACCAACCUGUGCGACAGUCUUGACCUGAAGCUAUAUCCGGCGGUUUUCCAUCGUUUUUCGGGCAAUUUUCACCGAUUCACCACCUGGAAAUUUUACACCGGCCUUCCCUCUUCAAUUUUUACCCAUGAUUGAUGGGUUUUUGGUCCUAAUUUCGUGAAGAACCCGUAAAGUGGAGCCGAGGGUCUCGUGGUGGGGAUCCACCAAACCUGAAUAAUGAAGGAUGAUUUUGUGAAAACAUGUUCAUUUAAGCAACAUCUAUAAGCAUGCAAUUAACAAUUAAAAGGCGGAAUCAUGCUUGCAUGCACUUAAAAACAAAACAUUAACCAUGAAAUUCAAAGCCUAGUAGAUUGGUGAACCAAGACUCAACUCAAAUCAAAGUGAGUUGAGAAAUAUACCUUUGUAGAUUCCUCUUUGUAUAAGUAAAGGCUAAUCACCCAAAGAGAGGGCCUUCAUUCCUUGCAUCUAAAAUCUAUGGAUUUGGAUGGAUGAAAAGGUUUCUCCAAGUUCCCAAAAUUGAGAACCUCUAAGUCUCCACACCAAGGAGAGAUUGGAGAAGGAAUGAGUGACCUUGGAGUAGUGGGAUUGCUAGAUGCACCCUCCCAGGGGGCCGGCCUCCUAGAGAGAAAAGGAGAGACAAGUUAUCACCAAUUUUCUCUAAAAGAAACCCAUAAUGAAUUUAGGCUAUAAAGUCCUUUAUAUAGUCACUUCAAAUAAGUGACCUAAAGAACCAAAAGGCCAUUCUCUCUAACAUGGCCGGCCAUAAGAGUUUUAUUGGGCUUUUGGGCCUUUGUGAAUUAAGUUGUCAUACAACUUAAGUCAAUGGGCUUGACGUUCGAAGCCCAUUGGGCCUUGAGACCCAAAACUAACCCGUGGUCUUUUAACGAACUUUAUUCGUUUGAUUAAUUAACAUAUUAAUUAAUCCUUGCCAUAAAUAAUUAAACCAUUUAAUUAUUCUUACUCAUCUCCAUUGUUUCUUCAAUCUCCACCUUACACGGUGUACGAUCCAUUAGGUUCCUUUUAGCGACGCAGUGGGCGAUUAAAACUCUUUAAAAUCGAUUGUGAAUUGAAACUUACUUUCAAUUCUCCCUUUAGUGUUUAUACACGUUUAGGGCUUCCACAAACCAAGAGUGACACCUAGUAGCAUAUCAUGGUUACCCAAGCUAAUCAGAAGAGGUGGAGAACCUUUUCAGUUUAGGAUUACAAAUGCAAUAUGGUCAUUCUCUAAUACAAUACUCUUGACCACAUUGUUUGGUUUAAUAGUUUAUUUAUUCAUGUCUACUAUCCAAUGUGAUUCGUGUGCUUAUAUGAUUACCUUGAAUGUGAUUUGGAACGACUUCCUAAAUCUCAUUCUUACUCUGGCCAGAGGUUCUAAAUCAUAUCAUAGAGUAUUCUCCCUCAAACGGUUUGAAAGUUAGAGAUCCCUUGUUGCGCAUUCACUUGCCUCCAUAGCUAAGUGGCUUAACCCCAACGAUGUUGUGGACACCCUCCUGAUGGAGUGACUUUGACAUAAUCAAAGAUCAAGUACUUAACCACAAGACAAACGUGAUGCCUCAGGUCAAAUGACUACUUUGCAUUAUCCCAACCAUGAGUUCUCAUAUGACAUGAAUAUGAGAACUCUUCAUUGAUCGUGUUCAGUGAACUCAUUCUCUAUUGAGCACCUACAUACUUGUCUUGAUGUCACACACACCAAUGACUCGAGACUAGUCACUCUCCCUGAGAGAAUACACAACACGUACUGAUCUUAACGGACUGUCAAUGCCCAAUUGGCAAUCCUAUGAUCAGGAACGUUUAGGAUGUGUCUACGAAAGAAUGGUCUCAUGAAUCUAAUUUCUUUAGAUUGCAUUCUCCCAAUCACAUAUUCCUUGGACUUAUCGUUUAAGCAUAUAACAUUUAUAUGAGACGGCUUAAACAAUAAUAUUUGCCCUUUAUAUUUAAACUAGAUUAGUUUAACAUGUGAAAUGUCCGUAAAGUAUCAUCAUAUGAUUGGCUUUAGGGCACAUUUCCAACAAAUAAAACUUUCACCACCACCAUCAUCAAUGGACUCCCCUCAACCUCAGGAAAAAAGCCUAGGCAUUGGUUGGGGCGGCGAAGCAUCGGAGGUGACGAAUUUUAGCCACCAAUUUCUAGUGUUUUUGGCAAGUUUGAGUGAAAUUGAGGCUUUUUCCGGCUAAAUUGGACCUCGGCUCAUGUAUGAAAAGUAUUCCUCUCCUUGAUUUGUACAUUCCUGCAAAAUUUGGUAAUUUUUGGAAAUAGUUAAAUUUUCCAACGAGUUGGGGCAGCCGACUGCCACUUGCGGCGGCGCAUGGCCAGUGGGUCGUCGAUACUAUUUUACACUAAAUUGAUAUCUUGAUCUCAGAUUUUGAUGCCCGUCGUAUGUGAUUUUAUUAUUGUGAAUCUAGUUUUAUUAAGAUGCAUUACUUGAUUUUUAUUUGACUUGACGAUCUGACCGUUGAAUUGUCACCAAACUCUAAUGCACUAUAGAACGUAAUAUUUGAGGAUAUUAGGAACUGACGGAUCGGGAAUCCAAUUUAUGGAUCUUUCUGAAUUGGAAUUCUAAGUUUGUAAAAUAAAAUGUUUACCGCCACCUAAUCCUAGUAAUUGGCGGAGAAUCUGACCGUUGGAUUGCAAGGAGAAUUUAAUAUGUCAUUCUAUAAGCAUAAUGCGGACCUUAGAAAGUUACUGAUCCGAAAUCCGAUGGGCGGAUCUUUUGGAUCGAAUUACGUAGGGUUGUGGACCCUACCUUUGAUCGAGAGUUGACUUUUAGUCAACAUGGCUCAUAAUGUUUUGAAGAUUAAAUUUAGUAUUGCGGGAUCUUAUGUGAAGUCUUGUGGGCCUAUAUUGGUUAGAAAGUGACUUGAACUUAUGUGAUAUGGUUUUUACCUUGAUUUCUUAUAUUUAUAUCUUUUGUGAAUAUGAAAUGGAUAAAGAAUGAGUGGUGAACUACGAAGAGCUUGAUCCCACUCAAGGGUAUGUAGGUAGUCUAACAGGGGUUAGAUGCAGCCCUAAAUAAUAGAGAAUUAAUCUUUUGUUAAGAAUUUGUUUUAAUAGAAGAAAUUUGAGGAUUAAAUUUAUAAUUUAAUCAUAUGUUUUGAUAAUGAAAAUAUGGAUAUAGUUUUGUGAGGAAUUAAGGAAUUGAAGUGAAGAAUCGUGAUUAAUGGUAGUAAAUUAAACAAGAGUUUAAAUUGGGCCUAUCACAGACAUUAUAUUCUUGAAACAACAGUUUUGGAGUCAAGACGUUACAAAUAUCUUAUGACUAUGUUCUUUGGUAUUCUUUAAUGAAAUACUACGAAUUUGAUAGAUAGGUUGACAUAUUUGACAGUGGCUUAAAACUUGAAUAAAAAUUACUAUCUUUGCGUUUGCUUAUGACUUGUACUUUUGAUUUUCUUUUGCUUAAUGGGUUUUCAAUAGAAAAAGAAAGGAAACAAUCAACAUGGAGAUUUUUUUUUUGCCUUGCCAUCGAAGCAAAGAGUUUCUUGGAGGGGGCUCCAGAAUAUAAUGAUUGGAAGUUGCUGUUAUAAGGCUUUGUGAGAUGUACUUUGGCGUGACAAUAUUUUUAAAUUGAUGCGUUGGUUUUGUUUGGAAAUUUGAAAAAACAAGUUUGAGAUAGUGUAUAACUCUCACUGAAUUGCUUUUCUUAGAUAAUAUGCACGAGUUUAUUGAUGUUACCAUUUUUAUUGUCAAAUGAUUAUAACAUAUGCAUAUAUGAGAUGAAAUUUAAUUUAUGCAUUGGAAUGAUGAGAAGCAUAACUCAUGUACUAACUGUAAGUUUCAUGGGAUAAUCUUUUAGCGAAUCGGAAUAUGAACACAUUAAACAACAUUUGAACUAAAAAAGUUAAAAUCGAAGAUCAUAUAUGCUUAUACGACAAUAAUGGAGUAAGGACAAAAGAUAAAUAUUCGGUACAUUUCAGGAUGGGCUUGGGCCUAGCCCGGCCCCUAUGUGGCUCCGCCCUUGCCCAAACCCAAUCCACAUUUCUUUGUAUGGCGCUGAAAAACAAAGUACAUUAGUAUUUCUAGGUAGUCAUUUCUACAUUCCUCUAUCAUGCCUCUUGUAAGCUCACGUGCCGCAUUUCUAGUCCGUUCUAUCAAAGUUUUUAUGAUUAAUUUCUUCGUCACCAUGCCUAAAUCUCGUGGACUUUGGAAGUUCUUCACUCAAACAUACCCUUGCGGAAAUUUAAAAUGUGUGUUUAUUUCAUAGAAGUAAUACAUGCAUACCAACGCUCUCGAAUUUGAUUGCAUAGGAAACAAAGAAAUAACGAUUAAGACAUUACAUUCAACUUGUUGGGAUGUGGAUAUAAACGAUUAUGGUCAAUUCUUAUUGCUUUCAAUUUCACGCCAUAAUGUGAGGAUCUCGAACCUAGAGAAAAAAGAAAUGCAAAUUUUUUAACAAGAAGAAGAGAAGCUAACAAUGGAAUAAAAACAAGAAUUUCACUCGCAGAGUUAUAUUUGGAGCCUCAAGACCAAGAUGAAUAAGUGCAUAUCGAAAUCACCUUGAACUCUGCAAUCGAUGAUGACCUUGGAUAAGUAUUAUCUGUGGAUGUGGUUUAUACUAAUGGACAUGCUUUUUAGCGCCAUCUGAAGAAUGUAGAUAUCACCAGAAAAUAACAUAUAUUUUUUUUUGUGUCCGUUCACUUGUAUAUAACGUAUAAGGUAUAGUAUGCCGACUUGCAUACACUCAAUAAUUUCACCCCAAUCGAGAAAGUGUGUAUCUUGUUUCUAAAAGUUCAUGAUUUGAAGUUUGGAUUACGAAAUUGAAUCAAACAAAAGAUGGAAUGAAAAUAAUUUUGUGACCCAGUUACAUGUAUCUAAGUUAUUGAGCAAUUACAACUUCAUAUGAUAUUUUUAAAAUAUUUCAAUCUCAUACAUUUAAGAGAUCCCUUAUUUAUCAUGUGACACAAAUGUGACAGCCAACAUAAAUGGGGAAUCUUUAUUUGCCACAUGAUCACUUAACGGUUAACUUAACAAAAUUUUUAACGAAUGUAUAAAAUUGAAAUAAAAUGAUAAGUAAAUGUAUAAAAUUAAAAUAUUUUAAGAUUUUAUAAGAAGUUUCAAUCCAUCUUGAAUCUGAUGAGGUAAAAUAUAAUUUCAAUAAUUCGUGGUUUUGCAGUGCAGCGAGUGCGUGGAAUUCACUAUUGUAAACGCAAGUCGCAACACGGAGACGGACAUCUAUCCACUGAAGUGAAAACGUCAGAGACACUCUCCAAUGCACGCGUAGGAUACACACACAGAUAUAUAUAUAUAGUAUUCAAGUUCAACCCCAGCAAGCAAACCAGAUAUUCUAACCGGCAUGUCUGAAAAGCAGAAAUCAAAACCCCUACAAUACAUGACUGUGGGGUACACUUGGAUGCCCAUAAGUCUCAAAAGCAAACUGUGAAAUUACGAAAACACCACAUUCCAAAAACCACGUAAAUCUUCAAACCAACUUUACGCCUUAGGAGAAACGACGUCGGAUCACCGGGAAACAUAUGCGAAAAAUGGUAGAUUUGAUGAGGACAAAUUAGUCAGAACAGACAUCAAUCCGUCCCCAAGCUCAACAAUCCGACUGGUGUCUGCAUACAAAAACAAAAGCAAUCUUCUGCUCUCUCUCCCUCUCUCUCUCUCUCCAGCUUUCAAAACUACUUUCCCUUUCUUCCCCCCUCUCUCUCCUUUCUCUCUCUAAAGCUUCACAGGAAUCAAACUCCAAAACCCUAAAAGCCAGAAGCCCGAAUCCAGAAACCAAUCUGAAAAUCCUGAAAAUAUGAGCUCCAAACCCAGCAUUUUGCUCUCCUGCUUCCGCCAUUGAAAGAACCCAUCCUUCUGUUUCUUCUGCUGGGUAGGCAUAGAACCAGAUGGGUAAGCAGAAAAAGCAAAAAAACCCAGAAAAUUCUCCGAAUUUCAAACCCAAAAAACCCAGCUUUUUUGCUUCGUUCUUAAACCACAGUUAAACCCUCUUUCUAUUUUUGCUCUAAUCUGAGAAACAGUUCCCAAAAAUGGCGAUUCAAAAACCCUUUUCCAAAACCCAAAUCUUCCUUUUUCUGAUAGUUCUAGUCAAUGUGGCUGUUUUCGUCACCUCCAAGUCGACAAUCGAGCCCUGCUCGAACGCCGACUUGUGCAACGCCUUGCUCGGGUACACUGUCUACACCGAGCUAAAGGUCUCGGAGGUCGCCUUCCUCUUCCAGAUCGACCCAAUUGCUCUCCUCACCGCCAAUGCCAUCGACAUUUCGUACCCAGACGUCGAAAACCACAUCCUCCCGUCCCAGCUCUUCCUCAAAGUCCCAAUCACCUGCUCCUGCGUCGACGGGAUUCGAAAAUCGGUGUCUACCCACUACAAGACCCGGCCUUCCGACACUCUGGCCUCCAUUGCCGAUUCGGUGUACUCCGGCUUGGUCUCGGCGGACCAGAUUAGGGAGGCCAAUUCGAUUUCGGACCCUUCGGUGCUCGACGUGGGGCAGACCCUUGUGGUGCCUCUGCCCUGCACUUGCUUCAAUGGGACUGAUAAUCUACUGCCUGCUAUCUACUUGUCCUACGUGGUGAGCCCGGAGGACACGCUGGCAGGGAUCGCAGCGCGGUACUCGACUACACUGACCGAUUUGAUGAAUGUGAAUGCCAUGGGGAGUACUGCUAUUAAGGCUGCUGAUAUACUUGCAAUCCCAUUGCCAGGUAAUCUGUAGUUUUACUUAUUUUAUCAAGUGUUUCGCAAUUGGAAGCUAAUUAAUUACAAUGUACUUCUAUGUUGAAAUUUGGUAUGUUAAUAGUUUGUGAGUGAUUGUGUUGCUGGUUUCUAAUUGCGCCAUUUUGUUUUUGGUUUCAGUUGCUGUACUUGUUAUUGUUAUAAGAUACUUCAUCGUAGAGAAUCGGAGUUCUUAAAGUUUGUGCAUUUUGAUGGGUUUUAAUUAGUUCAACGUUCGGACUAAUGACCAUGUCAUUUAUGUUUGAGAUUAGUUUACCGCCAUAGCUGUACGGUUUCUGGGAAUCCUUGAGGCCUUUAUUAUGGUUGGCUGUCUCACAGAUUUGGAUGAAGUUUUCAUCUUUAAAAUAUAUCAUAUACUUUUGUGUAAAUAGACUUUUGUAGAAUGAUUAAUAAUCAAGACAACCAUCACAUAGUUUUUGUGUUUAAAAUUUAUCAAAUGGUUGGUUUGGUUCUCUCGCAAAUCCAACUUGAGACAAAAGCCGCUAAAAUAUAUUGGUGCACUAGAAAUAUACUUCAGUAUAAUGAAUAAGAAACCAUUAGGUAAUUGUGUAACAAUUUCAGUUAAACAAUUGACUACAAAGUUCUCAAAAAUAUUUUACCAUAUAAAUUCCAAGACAGAAAAUCUUCAACCUUUCCUUGAGAAUACUCUGCUUCUUCAUGUAUGACUUCUUUAUGUAAGUAGUAAGCUCAGGAAGCAAACCAACCUUAAACAUCACAUUAUCCUGACAAAAGAAAGAGAAAAUGAAUUUGGAAAAGAGUUUCUUUAUAGAUAUUGCUUAAAGAAGUCGUGAAAUAUGCACCUCUGCUUCCUUUUGAGUGCUGGUAGUGCAUCACAUAUGGAAAUUGUUUUCCGUCUUUGAAAUAUGUCACAUAUAUUUUACUUAUUGGCGAAUGGUAACUAAUAUUUUGUACUUGUUUCCUAUAUAUUUUGUUUAUUUCUAUUGUAUUUUAUAUCUGAAGUAAUGAUCUUUAUGAGAUAGCCUGUUGGUAAUGUUUUAAUUUUGUUUCUCUUGAGUGCAGCCUGUGCAUCAAACUUUCCUAAAUAUGCUCAAGAUUACGGCUUGAUGGUGCCCAAUGGUAGCUAUGCCAUUACAGCAAGUCACUGUUUACAAUGCAGUUGUGGGCCUGGGAGUCUCAAGUAAUUGAGUGUACUUCUAUAUAUAUCUACAUGUUCUCCAACUUCUUCUGCGAAUUGAGUAUUAAUCACAUAAUCGUGUUAUUUUCUACAGUUUGUACUGCCAGCCUGCUUCAUUAGCAGUUUCAUGUUCGAGCAUGCAAUGUAAGAAAAGUAACCUCAUAGUCGGGAAUGUUACAGUUCAGCAGAGUGGUGGUGGUUGCAAUGUCACUUCUUGUAACUAUGGUGGUUUUGUGAAUGGCAGCAUCAUCACAACGUAUGGUUAUCCUUUAUGCUUUUACUUUUUCACUCUUACUAUAGCUGUUUCAAAAUGUAGGAAUUCUGCUUUAAUGUCAAUCUGAUUUCAUCCUCCUCUGCAGAUUGUCUUCAUCUCUUCAGCCCCGUUGCCCAGGUAAACGUAUAGAUGCUAUUAUGUAUUGUGCUGCUUGGCUAAUUAAAAGGAACAAAACUAUAGAAAUUGGUUGCACUUGUAGGUUUCUGGAUAUCACAUGAAAUUGGUUGUCUUAUUUUCUUAAACUGAAGGAAGUUUUGCCCGUUUUCUUUGUUAAAAAUUGGUUCAUGUUUUAAUACUUUUCUUUAUAGUACUGUAAAAUUCUAAUUUCAAAUUAUGGACUCGAUUAUUAUCAAACAGUUACUAGUGUUAUAAAGCAUAUAAGCAGAUUGUAUAUUACUCUCUAUUGAAAAUAAGAUCUUAUUGGAAAAUAGAAGAUCAAUCGCUUUAUGCAUUGUGAUUUCUUAACUGAAAAGAAAAAGACUUCAUGGAGCCAGAAACCAGACUGUGAUUAAUUUGUUACUCAAGAACUGUAUUUCAAAACGCGAUGCAGGUCCACAGAAAUUUCCACCACUUAAAGCCCCGCCUACCUCGGUAAUCCAUGACACAAUGUUUGCACCUGCACCUGCACCUGCACCCCAGUCAGAUGGUUCUAUUGGAGGGAUACCCAAGUCGCCUUCAGUGUACCCCGGAGUGCAUCCAGCAGGAUUAUCCCCUAUAGGUGGCCCUGCUGGGAGUGCUUCUGAUGCCUGCUCGUUGAUCAAUCCAUUGGCCAAUCUCCCAACCGCCGUUCUGCUACUUUUGUAUGUCAAGUUGAUGAUGGUCAUCUUAUAAUGAUUUCGGUACCCUGUUCUUCGUUGUUGCUUCUGCAUUGGACCAGUCGGAUUCUUGUAUUUAACCUUCUACGUAUUUGUAGUGUUUGAACUGGUUUGGUGGAUGUGGAACCGUCAUUGGGGUGUUUGAAUAAUGAUGGGUUUUGUUUUUCGCAACUGUCAGAUUAUGCACUGUGAAGUUGUGGCCGUUGCCAUCUCUGUAAUAUAUUCUCGUUACCACUUUCUUGAGUCUCAGAGAGCGUGUGGGUAGAGCCUUCCUCGUUAGUUCCUAGCAUUUUGUUAUCAUCUAUAUUCUCUAAUUCUCUCCCUUAUGCACUCAACGCUAAACACAUCACUUUGGAAGCAUAUUAUAUCUCACCAUACAUUUAAACAAGAAUUAAGCCAACUUAACUGGUUUUUUUUCUCAUCAAGUUUUCACUUCUUGACUGCGUACUUAGUACUGGUUUGGUACUGAUGUGCUUUUAUAAAAAAUGAGUAUAAAAAAAAACUAAGCUAAAAAAGGUGUUUGGUAAACACUAAAAACAUCUUAUUUUCAUAGUUCUAGGUGAAAAAAAGCUGAAAACGUGAAGUAGUAAAAAUGAGCUUAUUCUCACAGCACAUCAGAAAUAGUUUUUUUUUUUCAACGCACAUCAAUACCAAAUCAGCCCUUAGACCAUCUCAAAUGGAGAGGGCUAAAAGUCCAAAAGUAAAAAAAUAACUUGAUUUGCUUAAAAACUCAUCUCUAACUGAUGACUGUGUUAUAAUUUUAUGGAGUUUAGACCAUCUCCAAGGGAGAUGUCAAAUUUUAAACUUAAAAUUUAAUUUGACAGCUUAUGUGGCAAAUUGACAUAUUUUAAUGUUUCGCUCUUCACCAGAUAUGUCAAAUUAAACUAUUAUUUUAUUACAUUAUUUUUUUUCUUAAUUAUUGUUUUAUAUUUUAAAUUUUACUUAUAUAAAUAAUUCAUAAUAAAAUUCAUAUUAAUUAUUAACAAAAUACUAAUACAAAUAAUCCAACAAAAUACAACCCCUUAAUUGAAAAUAGAAAUAAAAAUCCACAACAUCUGCAGCAAAUCCAUAAGCAAGCAUCCUCAUGAGUAUUUAUCAUUAAUAGCCAAAAUUUAAUGCUAAAUUUCAUAAAUGUCACUUUUUAUAAAAACUUUCAAAUAUAGCAUAAAACUCACAUUAAUGGACCUAAAAGCCCUCAAAAUCCAAAACCCAUUUACACAAGAAAAGCUAAAACACUUGAAUAGAUCUCAUGUCCAUUGUUGUUCAAAGUGCAAGGCUUGGAGGGGAGUUGGUAAUAUCUAACUUGUGCAAGUUAGUUUCUGAUUAAUUUGCAACUCAUUGAACAUGGAGGGUCAAUGGAAUUUUUGUGGGAGUUGUAUGGAAGCAACUUAACCGCUCCAAACUUGGAACUCUUCUUACUCCAAGAAGAAUAUAAUUGCAAAAGAGUUCAUAAAGCAAAUGAAAACUCCUAUAAAAUUCUUGAACAUAACUGACUGGUCCGAAUAUAGAAUCGAUGGUCAUCCAUCCAUAUAAGUAGCAAAUUACAUUUAGAAGGGAAAAAUUGCCUAUUUGAUAAUAUAAUGCAAGUGACUAGAUGAUUUUUUUUUAUGAAGAACUCACAUUCAACAAUAUUAUUCCCAAUCAACAACUCACAUAUCAAAGUCUAUCAGAUGAUCUUUUUUGUUGAAUUAUUUGUGUUUUCCUAUAUAGCUAGGCAAUUGAUACAUCAUAGACAAGCGUCUGCAAAUUCUCGUUGAUCUCCAUUUCAUUGACUUUUUGUUGAGGUAAAGUACCAUAUUCAUUCAUAGAUAAUAGGAAUACGCGUGUAAACAUGAGGAUAGGGUGUAAUUACAUGGGCUUUGAUAAAAACCUUGUCAGGGAUUUCAACCUGGACAAAGGGAAAAAGAGCAUCUGAUACCAAAAUUAAAUAUGAAUUCUAUCCUAAAAAAGAAUGUCACAAAUUAUAUCGGGUGGUUCUUCAAACCAUGCUCGUUCCGCCUCCAAAAGCAAUCCGAACCGUGCUAAUUGAUGAGCCACCCAAUUUGCCCCUCUCCAUGUAUGCAAAAUCUUCUAAAUUGGGAGUGAUCGUAGAUAAUAAUGCACCUCGUUAAUUACUGUACCAAAAUGGGAGUUAUCAUCACGGUCCUUCUGGUUUAUGGCAGCAAGUACACUGGAAGAGUCCCCUUCAAAUUAAAUCGCCUCAACUCCCAGUUCCCUGGCCAAUUCUGUCACUGUACAUGCAGCAAGCACCUCUGCGAGUGGUGGCGAAGUCACAACCUCCACCUUCUGAGUUCGAGCAGCAAUAAAUUCUUCCACAUCAUUUAAAAAAUCUACGUAGUUAUGAAGAGGCAGCAGCUGAGAAUUUUUUCGUUACACUACCAACUACAUCCUUAUGUUUAUUUGGUUUUAAUUUUGUGGAUAUUUAAGUCUAUUUAAGUGGAUUUUCUGUUAUUUUUGAAAGAUUUUAUAAAAAGUGACAUUUAUGAAAUUGAGCCAUAAAUUUUGGCUAUUAUUGAUAAAACUUGCAUCCUCAUAGCAGCAGUGACCUUUUGUAGAGGUGAUAAACCAAGAUGACCUGAUCGAUCCCUUUUUUGAGCAAAGUAUGAGUUAUUGGCUUCUACCACAUUUACAAUUGGAAGGAAAAGAGGUUCACGCAUCCGAAAUUUCUUUCGAAAUUGAGUUGGAGAGUACACUGGAUGUUCAACAAAAUAAUCAUUAGUCUUUGGUGGUCAUCGAGUGAUCUUCUAUUGAUAUAUGCAUGACCUUUUUUGGAACCACGAUGUUUUCUCAUUCCUAUUUCCAUGUUCUCUUGUUUAUUUUGUAGAGCAACCAAUUCCAGCCUUUCCAAUUCUUCAUUGGCCUCAGAAUUAACAAUACUAAAAAAAUGCUACUCCGCUAAAUCAAAAGAUGAGUCUGAAAAUUUUUGAGGCAUGUCCACAAAAUAACAUAGGAUGCCUGUUGAAGAAAUCAUUGUAUUUCACAAAAGCAGCGCGUUGCUUAAAUUGAACAAACUUCUUGAUUAAAAAAGAAGAAAGAGGUAGUGUUUUAAACGAACUCUACAUGUUCAACAAUAAAAUAAUAAAAGAUAUUUAAUAAUAAAUGAUAUUAAAAUAUUAAUAAAAGACAUUUAAUAAUUAGUAAAAAAAAUUUGAAGCUGCUGUCAAAUUUGACAACAAACCCCCUUAUUGCCAUUCCACGUCAUGCCACACAUGAUUUGGCAUUUCGGUUGGAAACAAUUAGUGACUGCAUUUUUUUACUGUUAUAGCUAAUGUGGACAAUUUGACAUCUCAUUUGGAGAUGCUCUUACUAGGCCUUUAUUUGGGCAAGGGGCAUCAGGUUGGCUAAAUGUAGUCCAUCUCUUAGCCCUUUUUUUGGGACUCAGCUCCACAUUUGCAAUAAUUGAUUCAAAUUUAACAGCUAGAUUUGAAAACAUUCAAAUGUAGUUAAUUAAAUUAACCAAUAAAGGAAAACUAAUGAAAAGGGCUUGAAAACUUUGAGUUUUAAUGAUAAGGACAAAAUAAAGGGUAAAGUGAAUAGUACCAUGAUUGACUUUUUAGUGUAAAAAUGUGGUUUUUCGUUAAAGUGAACAGUACCGGGUGCUUUUCGUUAAAGUUCCCUAAAUUUAAAGUGUAAACUUAAAGCUAAUAAAUUAUUGAGGGGCUGCUUAGCCCGUUCGGUUGAAUAUGGUAUAUGAGUAUGGUCUGACACUGUUUAUUUAAAAAUAAUUUUUUGUAUGACUAUAAUUCUAGACAAGAUUAUAUUUAGCAUUUUCGGUUGGAGAUGACCUUGCUUUUUAUGUGAAGCUCCCAAUGGUUACUCAUCGGUUCGGUCGUUUUGGCAUGUAUACUAAUUAGACACGUUAUUGUCAGUUAGGUCUAGUGAUAUUCCUCUUCACUUGUAAGUGAGAGGUUUUAAGUUUGAAUUUCGUAAAUGACGAGUUUGAUUCUAAUUUAUUCUCUCAUCCCUUAGUGUACUGUUGUAUAUAAAAAAACCAAAGUUUUAUCACUCAAAAUCAUUUUGACAAUAUGGCAAAUUUGUUCAAUUUCUAUUCACAAUUCCGUCGAAUAUGAGCACCAGUUCAUUUUCUGUCAAGUAAGAGCUCAAGGGCCCUCCGUCGAGGGCAUUAUCAACUCACAAAGGGGACUCUCAAAAGCUUCGGCGCGAGGUGUUCUGGUGGUGGAAGAAUGUUGGCACGUUGCACUAAAGUUGUUGCAGAAUCUGGAGAAUUUUGUGAUCAAAUUGAGAUGAUAAAUUGAUCAAAAAAGGUCAGAAAUGGGAUUUACUCUUGAUUGCUGGACGAGUGUUACGAAUGGCACUUGAUUGUGUGUUUAAAUGAUACGUGUUAGAAUCUUCCUAAUGAGCAAUCGUUUAUUUAUUUAUGUAUCUUGAAAUUAUAUUACGUGUCAUUUAGUAUUACGGUUUAAUUCCUCUUCACUUGUACUUAAUAGGUCUUAGGUUCGACUCUCGGCAGUUGAAGUUGAACCACAUUAUUAUGACAAACUCAUUAUAAGACUUAGCCUACUCCAUCACUUCCUUAGGAUAGAUACUAUCAUUUGUUCAAUUUUUUUUUUUUUAAUAUUAUGUAAACUGUUGAAUAAUUGGGUUCUUUUACUUGAAUACAAACAUUAAAAAAAACCCCUAAAUCAAUAGUUUGAUGAGUAGUUUAGUGAUGAAAGAUGACACUCUACAUCACUCUGUAGAUAAUGUUGGAAUCAAAUUCAUGACUUCUUCAACCACCGACAAAUAGGCAGCCCACCUGUCUGUGACACCACCAUAUCCCAGUCUCCAGGCUUGAGCUUUGCUCCACUUACUUGUUUUCCAGCCCGUAUGGGCUUGGUUCAAUCUCCGACUACCAAAAUUUCAGCGCCUAAUUUUUUAGGCGUUAGUUGAGCGGCGGACUGGGGCCUAACGUCUAGGAGGCUAGGCGGGAUCUAGGCAGGCAUCUAGGAGGAUUAGGCUGAUUUAAGUAAAUUUAUUGUAUUUCGUGUAAAUAUAUGUCUGCUUGUACUUAAAAUAUAUAUAAUUUUAUCAUAAAUUGCAAAAUAGAGUGACAUAUAUCUUAUAAAGUAUUAGAACAUAAUGAAAAUAUGGGGAACAUGCAUAUAAUGUAUGCUCAUUUAAGUAUGCAACAAGUCUCUUACAAUUUAUUGAAAAAAAAAAACAAAAUGCAAAAUAAAAGUUAUAUAUUUUCUGUCUAAGUGAGUCACAACUUAGACGCGCGUCUCAGCAUGUCUAGGUGCUCUUUCUUAAUUUUAAACGCCUAGACAUUAUUCAGAACGGUAGCCAGCCGCUUAGCUAGGCGGCUAGGUGGGGAUUUUUAGAACAAUGAUUAGCUUAUUACCUUUUGCGUGUUCUCCGAGUUGGCCUGAAGAUGAAAACCAUGGGACUCAUAUGCACCAAAAUGAGAGCAGCAUCAGAGACACUAGCAAAUUUUCAGCUGUUACUAUAAAUGAGGGUUUAAAAUGUUGCAAAUUGUCUCAAAAGUUCAUUAAUCUGAUGAUUGUGUGGGUCAUUUUGCAGGUACGGUUGGUUAGCAAAUAAGAAGCUCCGAGCUGGAGUAUACAAAGUUAGCAAAAGUUCAUACCGAAAGCAGAGUCCGUUCUCCUCUACCCUAUGGUCCAAAGUUGCUGGAGUAUACACUAGUACAGAGGUCAUAAACAACAGUUUUUAACUGUCGUCUGGUAUGAAAUAAAAAAAAUGUCUUAUACGUGGGUGCCAUCUUAUAGCACCGGAGACAGCGUUCUGAUCCCAAUUACUCAACUUCGAUGAUAAAAUUAUAAGUCAUAUGCACUAUGUGACUGAGAUUAAUUAGCAUGAAACCCUAAAAUAUGUGCAAUUAGUGAGUGUGAAAGUAGUCUUACUAUGUUGUAUACUGAGCUUGAGCUGGAUCUUCAUUGCAUGAAUCUCAUUUAAGCAUCUCUUUUCUUUUUAUUCAUUAGCGUGUCACAUGAAAAGUUAUGUGAUACAACGAAAGUAAUAUUUAACAUCAAUCUCUAUAUAUAAAGCCAACACUAAAGUGAAUAGUAUUUUUUGGGUCACAAGCUUCACAAAAAAAAAAUUAGACAAAAAUGCCCCUCAAACGAAAAACUUCAAAAGAAACCCAAAAUAAUGCAUCAAAUGUGGCAGGGGUAUUUUCGUCAUUUUAACAAUGAUUUUCUAAUAAUUAAAUUUUUUGUACAAUUAUUUUUUUAUUUUUAUAAUUAGGACCUCACAAUAUGCUAGCAAUAAUGUGAUUCAAUAAGUUGUCAUUAAAUAUUAUUUCUUUAUUUUUAAACAUGUUCAAAACAUAUUAAGAGGUGUGUAAUGCCGGUUAUAAAAAAGGUCUUUCGCACACAAAUAAUAAUGUGAUUAAAUUAGUUGUCAAAUGAUUGUUUUUUUUUAACAAUCAAUAUUAUCUACACUAUGGGGGAUGGGAUGGGCUUUGCGAAUUGUUUAUUAAAUAUUAUUUUCUCUAUUUUUAAUGUAAAUUCAAUAGAGACUAAUUUUAUUAUGUGGAUUAAGUUGCUUUAAUUGGUUUAUGAGGGGUUUCUUCUAGCUUGAUCUAAGAUUAUUCAUUUACUUCAAAUAUUUGACUUUCAUUUUGUCAAUUUACGCAUAUAAAUACAUUUAAAACGUGUAAGUCGCACAUAGCAUGCUAUGAUUCAAAAAAUACUUUCUACACACGCGUGUGCGCAUGCAUGAAGGCUAAUUCUAAGAAAUUCCCCAAAUCAUUAAUUCAACGAAAGUCUUGUUUGGCCUUUUGAGUUUUGUUGGAGCAUCACAUGAAAAGUUCUUCCCAAAGGCUAGGGCAAAUCCAUUUUAAUUUGGCUUUUUAGCUAAAAUAGUAUUUGACCUUGAAAUUUAAAAUCAAUAUAAUCGGUCCCUUAGUUUGUUCACCAUCAAUCAUUUUGGUCAUUCCGUGAGAAAUCUCCAUUAUAUAGGAAUAAAAUGAUAAAACUACCCUCAAUUUUGGUCAAAAUCAUUUUAGCCCAUUGUUUAUUAAAUUGAGGGUUUUUUUUUUGUCAUUUUGGUCUUUAUUUAAAAGAGAUUUUUCACGGAAAGAUUGAUGAUGGACAAAAAUUUCAAAUCUCAGGAACCAAAUUGUAGAGUUAUGUUAAUCUCAGGGACUACUUCUAUCAAUUCCAAUGAUAUUAGAAAUCAAUUGGAACAAAUCUUCUCUCUAGAAAUCAAUUGAGUGGAACAAUACCUGAAAGUAUUGGGCAACUGUCUAAGCUUGAGACUAUCAAUCUUGAAAUGAAUGCUCUGGAAGCGGUUGUUUUCAGAAAACCAUUUCUCUAAACUAUCCAGAUUAAGGCAUUUGGAUUUGUCCUCUAACUCACUAGCUUUAAGUUUCAAUUCUAAUUGGGUUCCUCCUUUCCAAUUGAAGUACAUGUUCUUGAGCUCUUGCAAGAUGGGUCACAGUUUCCAAAAUGGCUUCAAACUCAGAAAAAUUAUUGGGUUCUUGAUAUGCCUAAUGUAGGAAUUUCUAAUGUCCUUCCAAGUUGGCUUUGGAGUAGUUGGUUUGAUGACGACUUAUAUAUAAAUCCCUCCAACAACCGAAUUAGAGGAAUAAUUUCAAAUUCAAGAUUUGAGUUUCUCUCAUCUUUCCUUCUUAGCUUGUUUUCGGGAAAAUUCCUACCACAAUGGGCUCUUUAUUUCCUAUUCAAACACUGAAACUAAGUAGGAAUGGAUUUGUAGGAGAAUUGCCUUCAUCCUUAAAGAAUUGCAAAAGCCUCGUAGUCUUUGAUGUUGGAGAAAAUAACUUAUCAGGGCUGAUACCUGAAUGGUUGGGUAUUGGACUUCCAAAUUUGGCUAUCCUUGUCCUCCGUUCAAAUCACUUCUAUGGAGGCAUUCCAUUACACUUGUGUAAUCUUAAAAGCAUUCAAAUUUUGGAUUUCUCGAUUAACAAUAUCUCUGGAAGUAUACCCAAAUGCAUCAACAAUUUCAAAAAUUUGGCUGAAGUAGGAAAUUCAAGUCCAACCGUCAGUCAUGUGUAUGGCGUUACAUUGGGAUGGAAGUCUUGUCUUCAACAAUUAUUACGAUGAAGAAACAUCAUUUAUAUGGAAAGGCAUAAUGUCCAAAUACAUAAGUACUCUGGGGCUUGUAAAGAGUAUUCAUCUAUCGAGCAAUCGGUUAACCGGAGAGAUUCCUAAUGAAAUUAAUGAUCUUGUUAGGUCGGUUUCUUUAAACCUAUCGAGAAGCAAUUUAACAAGUCAAAUAACUCUAGAGAUUGGGAAGUUGGCUUCGCUACAGUUCUUUGAUUUGUCCAGAAACCAAAUUUAUGGUAGAAUUCCAACAAGUCUUCUUCAACUUUAUGAUCUCGGUGUUUUGGACUUGUCAUACAACCACCUGUUUGGAAAAAUUCCCUUCGAGACCCAACUCCAAAACUUUGGUCUCUCUUCUUACGCUGGAAAUCCUCUGCUUUGUGGAAUUCCUCUUCAACAGAUGUGCUCUCCAGAGGAAUCAAGUUCGAAGGAGCAGCCGGUGUUUGAGAAUUACGUUGAAGAUAAGGAUGGGUUUAUAACACCCGGAUUUUAUGUGAGUUUAGCUCUUGGAUUUGUUGUUGGAUUUUGGAGAGUUUGUGGGAGUUUGAUAUUCAUUAGGUCAUAAAGAUACACAUACUACAAGGUCUUGAACUGUGUAUACGACUGGCUUUAUGUGAGAGUGGCGUUGUUUAGGCGACGAAGAAUGGUUGAUGGAUAAAUUGUAAGUAAGCUUCCACAUAACUAUAGUGUAAUGAUAUGGCAUAAUUGCCAUCAUGAUUAAUAUCAAUUCGUUCUCUCUAAUUCUUUAAAUUUGUGACUAAUAUAUGCUGUGGUUUUUCUCAAUCUUUUUAGCUCUUGCAUUUACCGUUCGCAAGACAUGCUCCCUUUCAGGUGGAGAAGGAGAUAGAAGACUCCAAUUAGAAGUUAUGAUUUAGUGAAAGUGUUGUGCUUGAUUUGGCUUUUUUGUUUUGCAAUGACGUUAUUUACAUUAUCUUUGAGUGGUCAAUUAGGUCCUUUAUGUCCAAUUUUACUAUGUGUAUCACUUUAUCCUAAUUCAAUAAAUCCUUGAGAAACGUGCAAGAACUUCUUAAUUAAGUUACAGAGAGAAAAGCAGGCAGAUAGUUCAAUUAAGAUUUGAUACAUUAACAUUGAGAACAUUGCACAAUCGGUUUUCUCACAUCUUCAUUAGAAACCAAGUUUCCUGACAAGAUUAGAUUCGGCCAGUGACCAUCUAUUUGUUCAUUAUAUAUAGCUACAUUUUAUGAUCUUUCAACUAAACCCUGCAGUGCAAUAUUCAAUGUGAAAACAAGUAUAACAUCGCCGAUUGCUUGUUUGGGUCAAAUAACUGAGAAUAGUAACCCUUGGAAGCCUGUUAGCAUCCCGUCAAAAUUGGUCCAGCCUUUGGCCGAUAGAGUUUUGUUCGAGCCGUUUCCACUCUAGAUAUACUCCUAUAUGCAUGAGAAAAAAAUGAGUGAUACAGAACUUGAAGUUGAAGUAGUAAGUGAUGUAGAGUUUAUUGUUUGUGGCUGGUUCUGAUCCUUCCGUGAAGAACAUACGAUUCAUAAGCGCAUAAAAUAAAUAUGCACUCGGGAGUUCCAAAAAGAAAGAAAUUGAAAUAUAAAUCAAACAUUCAGCAUUGGUAUGAUACUAUUGCUUGUGGAAUAAAUCUUGUCUGAUUGAGGGAAUAUCGCUAAACUAAUAGCUAAUGCACGGUUAACUUGAGUGACAAGGGAAGAUAGUUGAUAACAAUAUCUAUCCUCUCACUUGGUAAAAAAAAAAUAAUGACAGAAAUAUAACUGCCAGUUAUGAAUAACCAGCAAUACAAAAAGAAAUUUAAUGCAUAAUAUGCAUCAGCUGAUGAAAAAAAUGAGUAAUUUGGAAAACCACAUGUAGGAGAUAUGGAAACAAAUUCCAACUUGUAAAGUCUAGUUUUAAGUGUUUGGCUUUCAUGUUAAAUAUUGUAAUUGAACCAUCACACAUGCUUAAUCUAGCUUUAGAAUAUACUUAGAUUAUGGGCUGUUACUGCUAGAGUAAACGUUCGAAAAGUGGCACAUUUCAACUCAAAUGUUUGUUCAUGCAUGUGCAUUUCAUAUCUUUAUUUGUGUUGCAUUCUGACUAGUUUGAUUGUCUAGCCAGUUUAGGGCGUUGCCUUCCAGCUGUUUAGGCACAUAGAUUAAGACAGCCCACAUGGGCUUUCUAAUAGGGAUGACAAUUAUAACCGUUAAACCCGAUAACCGUGAAUAACUGCUAUAAUGGAUUGGAUUUGGGUAUGAAAAUUCGGGUAUAUUUUGGGUAUGGGGAAAAACCGUGAAUAUUAUUCGGUUAUGGUUUUAGAUAUGGUUAUAAGGGUCCCCAAUCCAUAUCCGUACCCGAAUCCGAACCGAAUAAUAUAUAAUAUAAUUAUAUGUGUGUGUGUAUAUAUAUGUAUGUAUAUAUAUAUGUAUAUAUGUGUAUAUAUGUAUAUAUAUAUAUGUGUAUAUAUGUAUGUUCAUUAUUCAUCGAAUCCAUUACCUUGAGCAUACAAAAAUUACAUUGUGUGAGUUGCAUUUUGUUGCAAAGUUCAAAAGUUUUGAUAUGAAUCAAAAUCUAUAAGAAUUUAAUAGUAUUUAUACAAGAUAUCAAAGAUCAACCAACAUUAUCAAUGUUUAGCUUUAAUUUUUAUGUUCCACAAGAUCCAUUAAUUAAAUCAUCUUAUACAUUAAAUAUUUAAUGAUGAAAUUAAUAUUUACUAAAUUAUCAUGAAUCAAUUGGGCGAAUAUAUUUUUUAUAUUAAUGAAGAUGGAUAUAACCGUUAACUGAUGGGAAAUUCGGUAUCAGGUGGAUAUGGUUAUGGAUAAUAACCAAUGGUUAAUUUACAGUUAUAGAUAUGGUUAAUUUUCGUGGUUAUGGGGAUAUAUAUAGCAUUUCCAUCCUCAAACCGAUCCGUUGCCAUCCCUACUUUUUGACACCUUUCGUAGUAGUCAGUUUCUAGUUAUUGAUUUGGCUAGAUCUCCUGUGCAGUCCACAAGUGUCCCUCGAACAAAUUGGCUAAUGGAAAAUCAGAUUUCCUGGGGUAUAUUUGCUCCUAGGGUGUUUGAUUGUUCUGGGGUUCAUAAUUCAUUUGUUAGAGAGAGAUAGAGAGUUGCUCAAAGGCUUGAAGCUUGCAUCUUUUCCAUUUAUGAACCCUAACUGCCAAACCUUCCUUAUACAUUAAACACCCAAUCAUUGUAUAUUAGGGUUGCAUUGUUUUUAAGUUUGCACUUAUGCUUAAUUGCCAAACCUUCCUUAUACAUUAAACACCCAAUCAUUGUAUAUUAGGGUUGCAUUGUUUUUAAGUUUGCACUUAUGCCUUGGUCUGGUUGUUAAGCUUUAAAUUUGUUUUAGACCAAGCUUUUGGUUUCAAGUUAGAUUCUUGUUUCAACUGUUUGACUGGAAAAUCUGACUGGUCAGUUGAACCCAUAUUUUAUGUGCAUAUCAUAAUAUCAUAUCACAUCAUUGAUUGUGGUGAUAUCGGUGCCACGAGAUGACGAGCUCAGGGGAGCUGCCAUCUCGUGAAAACCAAAGGAGUCUAUCUUGUGUAAGGCAAGGUUGCACAAAGGUAAAGUUGCUUCGUAGAUAGGGAUUUAGGAAUUGAGCUUGUGUGAUCUUUGUAUGAACUUUUGUUUACACUAGUGGAUUUAACUCAGUGAAGAGUCUCCGGUUUUUUAACCCAGAUGUGAGUUUUUACUGCCAUGGCGUUCUAGGAUUCAUAUAGCCGAUUCCACUUAGUGGAAAAAGGCUUUGUUGUUGUCGUUGUUGUGAGUUUUUACUGCCAAAAAUAUCGUGUUCAAGUUAUGUUUAUUGUAUUCAAGUUAUGUUUACUAUGUCACACAUCCCACACACACAUACAUGGUACAUAUAUCUGUUGAACAUCUAAAUGCUUUGUGUUCACUGUUAUGCUCAAUUGACAUAUUAAUAACUUGCGAAGAACUUCAGCCUUCUUGGCUAGGAUAGUUUUUGGAAACUGAAAUUGGUGUUUGAAUCUUAGAUUUAUUGACUAACAAAUCUAUCUUAGUUGACUAGUGGGCUUGACUAGUCAAUCUAGCAGAUUAUAAUUUUUAUAUACAAGAUAUUCCUCCUGGUACCAAUUUCACAACUUUCGUUCCCCAACUAUUUCUUUUUAUGGAUAUCAUAUAGUAAAGAGGAAUGGGGAGUAACAAUUUCAUUUCGGGUUGCCUAGGUAAGUUUUACAGACCCGCCAUGAUUAGCACUUGCCCUCCACCAUUGGUCUUAAAGAACAUGGCAUGUCAUUAGGUUCAGAAGCUAGUUGAAAGGAGAAACAUGUAAAGCUCAUACAUAUACACAAAUAAAGCAUUUGUAACCUUAAACUAACCAAAAGAAAGUAACGAAAAUAUCUUAGCACAGAUUUACUCAUGUGACAAGAGUAUUAUGUAUCCUUUCUUGACCCAAAGAUGGGAUCUCCUGCAUCUUUACAUGCCAGUCUGGUUUUAACGUACCUUCGAGCAAAAUCUUCGACCUCCCUGAACAACAAUUACAGAAAAUAUGUAACAGCAGCAAGAACAAGGUUUGUCUCUCUCAAUUGCGUAUUUACGUGCAGAACCAAGGUUUUUUCAGAACUACCACAAGCAGCAAGAAAAAUGCAAAACAUUGUCCCGAAGUUUACUAAAAUCUUUCACAGACCAACACUUUUAAGCAACUUUUUUUCUUCUUUUUAUCCGAGCGAAAAGUGGAUCUAACCUUGUGACAGUUUAAAACGAAAGUGGAGAAAUACCACUACACUAACAGCUGUUUGGUUUUUAAGCAAACUCUGCGACAUUGAAAAACAUAUGACAAUAUGAAAUUCUUCCGCAGGUAUCAAAUGUCAAACUAGAGCUGGGCGUAAAUUUGUUGAGUUCAUCACUGGGGUAAUCAAAGUUAAGAUUGCUUGGGAAAAUGAAGAAAAUUUAGCCACCUAACAACUCAAGCGAAAAUAUACAAGUUCAAGACCAACUUAGUGCUUCUUCUUUUCGUUCUUGGUAGUUUUAAUCCCUUUGGAAUCUGUGAAACAUAAAGUAAAAAUAGACGACUAGGACACUAGACUUCAAAUUCCAUUUUCAAGUAAUCUUAAGUACUCUAAGCAUAGUAUAAUGAGGGAAUGCAAUCCUGAAAAGAUUAGUAUAAAGUGUUAAAAUUUAUAUAUUAUAAUAUUAAAUUCAAUGUUUGAAUGAAAAGUUCUUAACCGUCUGUAUCAAAAGGUGUAAGUUAUUCAAAUGGUGCCGGCUUAUACAAAGAGGCACUACAUUGUGUAUGCACCUUUUCAAAUUGAAAAGGAUUACCCUUAAAGGGAUCAAUGCAUCCCCUUAGAAAAUGGUGCUGUCUAAUAGAUGUAUGUUUGUAUCUCUUCGUCAAUCAGUGUAUUACGUUUUAUAUAAACUCAAGUUAGUACUGAUUUGGUAUUGAUGUGCUUUUAUAAACAGUGGGUAUAAAAAAAAGUUGAACUAAAAAAUGUGUUUGGUAAACACUUAAAAACAGCUUAUUUUCACAAUUUUGGGUGAAAAAAAAGCUGAAAACAUGAAGCAGCAAAAAUGAGUUUAUUCUCAUAGCACAGCAGAAAUAGUUUUUUUUUCUUCAAAGCAUUGCUAUACCAAACCAGCCCUUAGUAUAGUUGUGAGACAUGCAUAAAGAGAAGGAGUUUUUUUUUUUUUUCCAUUAUGUUUCUCUCAUUCUUUAUUGUUCAAUUCUGAGUCGUGCUUAAUUAGUCUUUACUUAAGUCAUUAAUCAUUUAUUGACAAGUGUAUAAAUAUCUCAGUGUAAUCCUCUAUUCAUUCAAUGAAAGAUACUUUUCUAAUAUGGUAUCAUCCUUCUCUGCUUAAUCGCCUCUAUCUUUUGCUUCUUCCGAUCGCUGCGAUUUCUGCAAAUCUUGCAAAUUUAUGCAAUCUUCUUCGAGUUCUUCACCUCUGAAUCCAUAAAUCAUCACCCCCAAUUCUUCUCCGAUGAACCCUAAUUUCACAUCGGUGAUAUCUUCUCCCUCAAUUUCUUCAAUUACAAUCCAAAGUAUUAGUUGUAUGGUUCCUACGAAGCUAUAAUUACCUCAUCUGGAAGGCGUUGCUUGCUCCGAUCUUUCGUCGAUAUCGAUUGACCGAAAUUGUUGAUGGUAAGAAGUCUGUCCGCCGCCGUUUCUCCUCGAUGAAUCAUGCAAAAGUAUUGGAAUUCCGAAUCCUGCAUUCGAUAUCUUAAGCAAUAAUAUCUCUGAUGCAAAGAUUUGGAGGAAUUUCUACUGCUCACAUCCAUCAACUGUGUUCUUGACUACAUUCUAUGCAAAAACGUGAUCUUAUUAUUUCUGAGUAUAUUCAGCAGAUCAAGAAUAUCUCUUAUGCACUCAUGGCUACUAGCGCGCCAAUUUUUGAAAAUGACCUAAUUGUUGUUACUCUCAAUGGUCUUUCCGAUGACCAUGAAUCUUUCAUGGAUUGUUACUCAACAAAGAAAUGUUCAUGAAUUGCAAGAAGAAUGCCACUAUUCCUUAUGCUUCUGAACCCUUUCAAGCUUUUGCUACUCAAUACCAAAGUCCUUAGCCUCCUUUGUUGCCAACCCCAUAACUCUAUGCAGCACAAUCUUCGAACUACAAUCCUUCUCCCAAACAGUACAACAAUAUUGGUAAAGGAAAUUAUCGUGGAAAUAAUUACAGAGGCAAUUAUAAUAGUUUUGGAAAUUAUAGAGGGAAUUCUAACAAUUAUAAUCCCAAUUAUGGGGGCAAUAAUCGCAACAGCUAUAGUGACCGAGUUCCUUGCCAAAUUUGUCAUUCUCAAGAUCAUGAAGCAAUUGAUUGCAUAGAGAGGAUGAAUCACUCUUUUGCUAACAAAAUUCCUCCUGCCAAGCUGCAGCCCAUGUGUGCUCAUACCAAUUCCAAGCCACCCUUUCCUACUUGGAUCAUGGAUUAUGGUGCCACAUCUCAUAUUGCUAAUGAUAUAUCAUUCGCUCAGUAUUCUGUGCCUUCUAAUGGACAUGAUAAGGUCUAUAUUGGUGAUGGUCAAGGUAUGCAUAUCCAGCACACUGGUACAUCUAUUAUUCAUACACCUACUAUGACAACCCGUUCCUACUUUUAUGAUUUUAUUAAUUUUAAAAGAGUGAGAAAAAAGAACAAGACUUGGAAGUGCCCAAGGACUAGAUGGUGGAAUCUAAAAGAAGAAAAACAAGCCAUUUUCAAAGAGAAAGUAAUCACCCAGUGUGUGUGGGAUAGAGAGGGGGAAGCUAACCAAAUGUGGGAUUCCAUGGCUAGUUGUAUCCGAAAAGUAGCAAAAGAGGUAUUAGGAGAGUCCAAGGGCUUUGCCCCACACCAAAAGGAAUCUUGGUGGUGGAAUGAGGAGGUACAAGCAAAGGUGAAGGCUAAGAAGGAAUGUUGUAAAGCCUUAUACAAGGAUAGGACCGAUGAAAAUGGUGAAAGGUAUAGAAAAGCGAAGCAAGAGGCGAAGAAAGCUGUGAGAGAAGCUAAGUUAGCGGCUUAUGACGAUAUGUAUAAGCGACUAGAUACCAAAGAAGGAGAGUUGGAUAUCUAUAAACUAGCUAGAGCAAGGGAAAAGAAGACAAAGGACCUAAACCAAGUGAGGUGCAUCAAGGAUGAGGAUGGAAAGGUUCUUGCUACAGAGAACGCGGUUAAAGACAGAUGGAAAGGUUAUUUUCAUAAUCUUUUCAAUGAAGGACAUGAAAUGAGUGCUUCUUUAGGGGAGUUGAGUAACUCAGAAGAGUGUAGAAACUACUCUUUUUAUCGUAGAAUCUGGAAGGAAGAAGUGGGUGUAGCUUUGAAGAAGAUGAAGCAUAGAAAAGCAGUAGGCCCAGACGAUAUACCAAUCGAAGUGUGGAAAGUUUUGGGAGAGACAGGUAUAACAUGGCUCACUGACCUUUUCAAUAGGAUUUUGAAAACGAAGAAGAUGCCGAAUGAGUGGCGAAUGAGCACUUUGGUGCCUAUCUACAAGAAUAAGGGCGAUGUACAAAAUUGCAUGAACUAUAGCGGAAUUAAGCUAAUGAGUCAUACAAUGAAGCUCUGGGAGAGAGUCAUUGAGAAUAGAUUGAGGCAAGAGACACGGGUUUCGGACAACCAAUUCGGGUUCAUGCCAGGGCGCUCAACCAUGGAGGCAAUCUAUCUCUUACGAAGAUUGAUGGAAAGAUAUAGAGAUGGGAAAAAGGAUUUACACAUGGUUUUUAUAGAUUUGGAAAAAGCGUAUGAUAGGGUCCCAAGAGACAUUCUUUGGAGGAUUUUAGAGAAGAAAGGAGUACGAGUAGCAUAUAUCCAAGCUAUACAGGAUAUGUAUGAAGGAGCAAAGACUGCCGUAAGAACUCAUGAAGGACAAACCGAAAGCUUUCCCAUAACUGUAGGAUUACAUCAAGGCUCAUCCUUAAGUCCUUACCUUUUUGCGUUGGUAAUGGAUGAGUUAACAGGACAUAUUCAAGGUGAUAUUCCUUGGUGUAUGCUUUUCGCAGACGAUAUAGUGUUGAUAGAUGAAACUCAGGAAGGGGUAAAAUGCAAAGCUUAACCUUUGGAGAGAAGUGUUGGAAUCUAAAGGUCUUCGCCUAAGCCGAUCAAAGACAGAAUAUAUGGAGUGCAAGUUCAGUGCAAAUGGAGGCCAAAACGAGUUAGGGGUGAGGAUCGGAGAUCAAGAAAUACCAAAGAACGACCGUUUUCGUUACCUAGGAUCUAUCUUGCAAAAGAACGGAGAAUUAGAUGGAGAUCUCAACCAUAGAAUACAAGCUGGAUGGAUGAAGUGGAAGAGUGCAUCCGGCGUGUUGUGUGACCG